UACUACAAAAGCAGAGGAUAAACAUAGCAUUGUCACCAGUAAGAGAGAUCGGCAAAAGACAGCACCAUAAAUAAGGGAGGAAAUCAACAUGACAAGGUCGAAACCCAUAUCUCUGACAACCUUGAAAUGACGUUUGAGAAAGGCUGGUUUGAAGGGUUGUGUAUUUGCAAAAAAACACUACUUCGUCCACAGAACAAGAAAAAGAGAUAUGAGUGGGCAAAAGCUCACAAAAAUUAGACUUAUGAUGACUAGAAACAAGUUUGCACUGAUUGGUUCAAAACACACAGUCUAUGUCCGCAGACAAACUGGUGAACGUCUGAAAGCACCAUGUGUUACACCCACAAUUCAGCAUGGAGGUGGUAGUUCCAUGGUAUGGGGAUGUUUUGCAGGUGAUGGAGUAGGAGAUUUGUUUGAAGUAAAGGGUAUUAUGAAGAAGGAACAGUACCACUCCAUCCUCCAGCACCAUGCUGUUCCAUCUGGGCUCAGACUUGUGGCUCGUAAGUUUGUUUUGCAGCAAGACAAUGGGCUCUAUUGUCGUGCCUUGCCAGAGACGUGCCGACAAGGCGUUCCCAAGCACAAUUUGGUAUUUUGGUAAGCAGCAGAGCCCGGCGUAAGUAUCCCCCCUCCCUAACUCAGCUCCUCCCAGCGGCGUAAGUCGUAGCGAGGGAGGAGAAAGGGCGUGGAGUGGGUUUAACACAGCCGAGACCUGUUUUCACCAAUCACAUCAGCUCCUCUCCUUGCCUUUAAAUCCGCCACAGGCGAGGCGUAUUACUAUUUCCAUGAAGUAGUCAAAGAGAUCAAGAGAUGUCUUAAGACAGUAAUGCCACAAGAUGGCAACAGAAGGCAGCUCCUCAACUAGUGACACUGAAAGCGCUGCAUUGGGCGUCCUCCACACUCUCUCAUAUGAGCACAGAUGGAUUUGGUGUGUGUAAUGUUGGACCCACUGGUAAGACAAACACCCUUUUCCACAAAUAAAGACACUCACAUAAAGUUGCACAUAUUCAAACCUCAUGUGACAAAGGUGGGUUGUGCGCACAGAUCACAACAUAAACUCCAAAAAUGGCAUUAAAAUUGGAACCAUCUGUGCGUAAAUGACGCAUCGCGCUCCGUGGCCUGGCUCUUUCUUUCAUAGAUGUUGGCAUAAAAAAUAAAUUUGCCUCACAAAACUUAAUAUUAUAAUAUUCGUAUGUCGGCUUAAAGUAGAUAACGCAUCUGGGCACUGAAACAAAUCAUCUGUUCAGCCGCAGCAGCCGAGACAUGUCCAGGUCGAGCUGCGCGAGAAAUAAGAGGAAGAGGAAGAAAGAAAGGGAGGGAGACAAAUUAAAUAUCUUGUUAACUUCAUCAUGUGUGUCUAUUUACUAGAUAUUUAAUUUAAUUUAAUGCGGUUUCAGCUGUGUUGAUUUGGUCAGGUUGUGUGUCCAAACGCGCUCAUCAGAUCAGAUAUAGAUCAGAAUAUAUCUAUAUAGAUCUAAAUGUAUGUGCUGACUCAGAUUAUUAGUUGUUGAUGAUUAUUUAUUGCACUGUAAUUUGCCUGACCCUGUGGAAACCUGCCGGUGAGGCAUCAGUGACGUAUGCCAAUACGCCGCCGGUCUACCAAAAAACUACUAGACCAGCUGCGUUCCGCCUGCGCUGAAAGCUGACCAGGUUUGAAUCGGCGAGCUUUCAGCGCACUUUACACGCCGGUGGCGAGCACGAAAAUGUCACUGCGCCCGCUGAUUCUGUUGACACCUCCCCCUGCCACGCCACCACGCCCAGCUUGGUGGAUCUCGGCUCACCUCCGUGCGCCUCAGUCCACGAAAAUACCAAACUGGCCGUACGCCGGGCUGAGCCCUCCGUCGCCUCACCGGCGCGCACAAAAAUAGAGCCCAAUGACCCUAAGCACUCUGCCAAGCUCUGUCAGGGUUAUCGAGACAAAAAAGAGGAGGAAGGUGUUCUUCAAAAGAUGGUUUGGCCUCCUCAGUCUCCAGACCUUUCUCCAAUUGAGCUUGUGCAGGAUGAAUUGGAAUGAUCGGUCAGAAAAAUGCGUCCCAUGAAUCAACAGUCUCAUUUUAAUGAACCUAAGAAAGCUUGGAAUUCAAUCCCUGGAACAUACCUUAAAAAACUUGUGGAACGAAUGCCUGGUAUAUGCCAAGCUGUUAUUAAAGCCAGAAGAGGUUACUUUAAAGAAAGCAAAGUCUAAGCAACAAUAACUUAAAUACCUUAAUAAUUAUAGUCAAAAUGCCUUCUGAUAAGUUACUCUUUACACAAUAGUCAUGUUUAUUGUGUUGCAAAUUAUAUAUAUGAAACUAUGAUCCUUUUUUGUACAAAUCUGAUCUUGCCUCCAUAGUUUUGGCCUGUAGUGUAUUUUUAUAGAAUAAUAGACAAACUGUACUUCUGGUUCUCCCAUCAUGAAGAUUGCCAUUAUAAGAAAACUGUAGGUAGAAGAUGUGUCACUCUGGUAAAUGUCUGAUUUUACUUGAUAUUCACACCCCACACAUCAGCCACCUGUUUAGGGCUAGAUUAGGAACACUGAUUUUCAAUCAUUCUUGGCAAAUGUUUGUCAGUUUUCUGGGUGUGAAUCUCUUGGGAUCAUAUUUGCAGAAUAUGUCAUGUUGAGGAGUUUGUUUUUCUGUUAUUUUUAGUUUUUCAAGACAUUUCACUGUAACCCUCAGCAAGAGCUAACCAAACUCAUCAGGAUUUGCAGAUUUUUUUUUUUUUUUUUCCUGGGCUACUGUAAAUCUCCCAGCUCUCAGGACUUGCUUUUCUUAAAUGAAUUGCCUUGACAUAGAUGAAUUGCUGUAUUUUCAACAGCAGGGAGAUUAGACAGGAGGGGGCACAGCAUGCGUAUCUUGCUACGACAAGAGGCUGUGCAAAUGCUUUCACUCACUGGUGGGGCAAUGGAGACGACCACAGAGAGGUGUGGAUUAUCUGCUCUCAAAGAGAUGAUCUGCUAAUUUAAUUGCCAGUAGUUUAAUGGAGGACAUCUUUAUGUGGCCAGAAGGAUGUGUUGGUAUAAAAAAGACAGUCAGUUCCUUCAGAGGCUGUCGCUACUGGACUUUCAUUAUGGUGGGGAAUCUCAAUGACAAAUGAGGAAGAUAAAUUGUGCUUUGAUAUGAAUUUGAUAAUUUUCUCAGAAGGCUUUUUAGUUGAGUUGUCCUCUAUUUAAGGUUGACAGGAUGGGAAUUUGUGUUAUUUAAAACUUGUCAUUUGGAGCUAAGUUCCCCUUUAAAGCCAAAAAUAUCCAUACAUUCAAAAUUACACAGUGAGCCAAUUUGUAUGAUUCGUGUCCUUUUAAGAAGCCUUCGAGCGAUUCAUGGCAAUAUCCAUGAGGUUUUUUAUACCUAUUCUGCCCUCAGUAGUGUAUUGAACUAGCUAUACAGAUAACUAAUAGUUGCUCAAAAAAAAACAAAAAAACACCAGGAUGCCUCUUACUGUUUUUACAUUUAUUGAAACUGACUGGAUGCUUUUUCCUUGUUUCUUUCUUUUGUAAAACAUAUUUUUGUAACUUUUGUAACAAAUGAAAAGGUGCAUAUCACAACCAAAGCUGUAAGUCUUACUAGCAGAAGUCACAUAAACACUGUGAAUCCAGCAGUCAUAUAGACUAAAUAUAUGUAAAUCAUUAUUGCAGGCUAAGCUACAACUGAAUUAACAUACGAAUCACUAGCGAUUAGCAUGACGCUAAUUUACAUUGAAAAACCCAUAGGGAUACUAGCGCUAUUAGUGUCUUAUUUUUUCUCAGACUUUUUAGACAAAACACAACUUAAAGUGCUUUAUGUGAGCAUCUAACAUGAAGUAACGUCUUGUGACAAUAUAGCUAAUGCUCACAGACAGAUGUCCUUAAACAGCCUAAUAACAUUUUGCAGCAUGACUCAACACAGGUGAACUUUUGACACGGCUCUGUGCAAUUUACUUUGCAACUACGGAAAAUCUAACAGGACAAACCUCAAACUGAAGUGUGCUGUGUAACAACGGUAACCCCAAUAGGACAAACUCAAACUCUGAAUUUAGACUGCAGGGCAGUACAAUACCAGUGCCAGUACCAGUAUUGAUAUGAUCUGAACUCUGAUAUAAAGUAUUCUCAGUUACACUGGCAAAAUGUUAGAAAUACAAACACAGCCAGUCUGUUAUGGCGAGGCCGAAUCAGAGUCGGUGUUGUUAUAUAACAGAUAGGUGCACCGUACCAGCUACAUUUCAAUGAACUCUCCUCAUGAGAAGAGGUAGAAGACCCCUCAAUGUUGACAGUAGGAUAAUGUUGACUCUAGUUCAGGCUGAGAAUAACAUUACAGUAGACACUUUUGUCUUCAGACAAAAGCACACAGAAAAACUGCUGUGCUCCCAAAGGGACAGUUUGCCUACACAAGAUGAUAGAGCCAACUUUGGGCUUGCUGACAAAAAUAUGUUUAUAUCUCCCACGACAGUUCUCUCACGCUGCUAUUUUUCUCCAGUGUCAGAGGCCAAGCCUCUCAAGGUGUGUUAUCAUUUAGUACGGUGAAGUUUUCUGCUGGUGAAUUGAUUCUGUGGGUUGAAGGCUACCCGUCUCCACAGCAUCCUCCAGCCAAAAAAGCCAGACCGAACCCGAUGCAUUCGUGCCCACAUAUUCCCUCUGAUCUUGUCCAAAUACCGAAAGGGGUGAGCACGAAAAGCCUCCUUCGAGGGAGGAGUGUGAAACCCUCCUUGAAGGAAAAAUAGGACCUUCCAUCUCACUCUUUUUCCCUCUCAGUUGCUCACAAAGGCAGCAGACAGGCGGGUAGAAAUCAAUUCCAUGGAGCCACCAGAUGAAAGUGAGAAAGAAAAAGAGCGAGGAAAGACAGAGAAGCUGUAUGAAGAUUUCACCAGGCGAAAAAGCAAAAAUAACCAGUGGUUAUUGGCUAGUCUUCCACCUGAGUCUCAGGACUUAUAAUACAGUAUGAAAAUGUGGUAAACCUAGUGGGCGGUAGUAUACUCAAGGAACCUCUUGCUGCACACAGACGAUUUCUCUCCAAGGAGCUUUCCUGAAGACAUUUCCAAUGGUCUUUACUGACACAAAUAGCAGAGCUGUACCAAACAUUUUUUUACUCAGUGGGAUGAUCAUCUAACACCUUGAGUCUGUAGCUAUGGUGGCUAUUAUUGUUAUCUAUUUUUGAAAUAAAUUUGUUGAAGAAACACAAUAUUUCAGAAAAAAAUAUCAUAGCCAGGCUGAGGUAUGCGAGAGCGAAGUGUUGCCUAAUUUCUUAGAUUCAGAUGAAGCAGCUAUCUCCAAUGAAGUUGAUGGAGGAAUGAGAAAAGCUGCAGUUCCUCCUUAGUCCUAUUGAGGCUGGAAGCCAAAGCUAAUCAGAACUUAUCACACACCACAUUCAUUCUUAUCUUAACAGCAAAUUUCAUCAUUUUUACAUCUUGGUUUACAAAAAAAUUUAGUCCUUGUGGCUCAUUUUCGAAUUAUUGAUAUCAGUUUCUUCCGUCAUGCAUUUGCAGAAUUGGGGAUGUGUGAGCAGAUGAAAAGACAUUGUUUCAUUAGCUGCCAUCAGACCCUCUUUCUACCUCUUUGCUUUGGUGCAAGAAGUUUUCCACCAUAUUAAGCAAUGUGCAGUUUUUAUGUAGAUGUGUAGCUCCUUCAAGUACCAUCUGUGACAUCUGUGCUUCCAGGUAUCAAAUACAGACAGACCCACUGCUCAGAGAUGUCUUGUCAACUUUCACUAACCCCAUUGCCGGUCACAUUGUGCUCUAUUCUAUGAUUGUAUGAUUGAAACCUAAAAAGUGAGAAAAACGUCUAAGAGUGGUAAUACUUUACUGGUCCACUUGGUUGCCUCUUUGAGGUAAAAUAGGUAAAAUACUGUAACACAAUAUGAGAUAUUGAUAUUUUGAUACACCAGAGUGAGAAACACAAGGCUUUUUUUUUAAAUCUGAAAAUCAUGUAAAACUAUUAAAGGGGUAUCAGAGAGGAAGAAUAGAGUCUGAAAAAAAUGCACAACACCACGGAAUAUGUUAAUAAAGUGCAGCUCAGAGAUUCCCAAACGAGUCAUUCAGUUCUGUUUAAUUCUAACACACUCAAGUGUUAAUGCAUAAACACAAACUUUUGCUAUUCUACUAUUUAAAGGAUGUGCAGGAAAAGGUUUGCCAUGAUGGGAAAGGGAGAAAUACAGAUAUUAGUGUGGCCUCAAAUGCACUGGCAGACCAAGUUGGAAGAUGAAGCCUCUGUAGGUCUCUUGCAGGUGCAUACUUCUGUGAGUGUGGAUGUAUAUGUAACAGAAGUAAAGUUACCAAAAUAAAGUGAUGACUUAUAGAAACAUGAAUCCAAACACCUGAUAAAACCACAGGAUUAGGGAGAAUCUCUCCACACAGACACACACACACACACACACACACACACACACACACACACACACACACACACACACACACACACACACACACACACACACAUAAGCAGCUUCAAGCUGACCAUGAUUCUAAAUGGUGGCCCACUUACAAGCAGGCUUAAGUGUUACCUUAAAACCUGCAAGACUGCUCUUACGUGUGUGUGUGUGUGUGUGUGUGUGUGUGUGUGUGUGUGUGUGUGUGUGUGUGUGUGUGUGUGUGUGUGUGUGUGCAUGUGUACUGACACCAAAGCCAACAGCUCUCAACCAGUAUUAGGAUUAACCCACUGAUUGAUCCUGGCAUCACAAACAUAGACAAGGGAGAGGGAGGGAGAAAACAAAGAGAGAGAGAGCAUCCUACAAAGUUAGCAAAGAAGGUGGGUAUUCAAAGAAAGAUGGAAAGAGGGAGUGAAAGAGGAAGAAGAGAAGUAGAGCGAGGAAAAGUGAGUACGAGUGGGUGUGAAUGAGUGGGAGGAUUAGUAAGAGAGAGGAGACAAACACACACAUGCACACACACACACUUCCCACUCGUAAACCUAUGAUAGCAGAUGGACCAGAGCACCUUCCAGACUUUACAUCAUGUGUGCGUGUGUUUACAGAACAUGUUUGUGUGUGAGAUCAUUCAAACCCACCUGUGUCUUUCCCACCUGUGCUCUGUUCAUUCAUAGUGAGGAGGGCGCACCAACACACACUCGAGGGACGGACCAGGAGAGCAAAUCAGGCUGAGCAGAGGAAGUCUAAGCAUGGAUGUGUGUUGUUUUGUUUUCCACUGUGAACAUGUGAGUGUGUGAAUGCCUGCCAGAAUAAAACUACAUUAAAUUGAUUCUCAUGACUGCUGAGGUGGAAAAGCUGCGUGCUUUGUUUUCCACCUGCAUUAAACGGCCUGACUUUGUAUUUCAUGUGUGCGUUCAUGUCUGACUGUAUUUACGAACAAACACCACUGUGUCUCUUAUUUAUUCUUUUAUCUGGAGGUCUUACCCUCUUUUAUCGACCCUGGGAAAUGAAACGCUACCCCCCCCCCCCCCCCAUUUCCUUUAACUGUUUUCAGGGUAUUCUAGCAAAAAAAAGAAUGCACUUCACGUCUCAACAGCAGAUUUGAGCUGACAAGAUAUCAUUGGAUUACAAAGCUCAUUUCACCGUGAGUUUAACACUUGACACACUGGCUCCCGGGUUGGUCAGGCAUGCAGAUGGAGAUGGAGAUGGAGCCACGGUUCCCUCCUACUCGUCACUGUCUGUGGCAUUUGUAAAGGGCACUUGCAGAGAGCCGUAGACAUGACAAGCUCCAGCUCCAUCUGCAUCCCACGAUUGCUCCGUGGACUGAAUAUAACAGACGCUUUCCAAACCACUGGAGCGAUGGGACACUUUAGCAGCAAGGCGGCGAAAGUUACACACACAUAGGUAAAAACCAUUAGUGCAAUGGCACUAAUACAGAUGCCCACAUAAUCUUGUACAAGGAGGGGGGCCACUCGCUGGCCAGAGUGCUACCCUUUAUUGCAAAGAAAAUUCAGAAAACAUACAGUCAGUCAAGCGAGAUAAAACAAAGACAUGCUUGAGGGUAUUUAGAGGUGCAGGAAGGGCAUUUCCAAGCUGGAGAUAGGGAAGAAAGACGAAACGUAUGGACCUAAAAGGCGAGGCAACGCAUUAAAGCUUGAUUAGCUGCGCAUCAGAAAGAAGGCUUACUUUCUGUGUGCGUGUACUUAGCCUUCACCGAGACCCCAGAGCCUUUCACCCCGCAAGCCUCCAGUGUGGCAAAGAGAGAAAACUUGUGUUCCCUUUCAUGGUACAUAUGUACUUCUGCCGUGCAGAGGGGAUUGUAAUGUUCCCAAUGGCGGACCCCGGUGAUUUGUCAAGAAUGAUGGUACAUCUGCGGGAGACAGUAUUAAUGAUGCACUGGCCGCUGUUACAAGCUCCCUCUGUGCUGUACAAACACACACAAAUCCACACAAACAUACAUACACAAGGAGAGAAUGUGGCAAAUGCAUUACACAUGCACAAAUCACAUUUGAAAAUCCCCUCACUUCAUCCUAGUCAAGUCAUCAAAUGAGAAACAGUUCAAGUUCUCAAUGCUGAGAGUUGAUAAACUUUAAGGGAAAAACAACCAGGAAGAUGACUUAUAACCUUGAAAAGUGCUGAAACAAUCAGUUAAUUUAUCAAUUGGGGUAAAUACAUUUGUCAACCAAAAGAAAAAAAAAAUGUUUUGGUCUUAAAAAGCUGAAUUUCUUUGUUUUCCAACAACAAUUGAAAAUCUUUUACUCUGAGGCAAACAAGCACAUUUGAUCCAUCACACAGAGCACUGAGGAUCUGUGUUGGCUAUUUAUUUGGUUAUUUCUCUCAGUAUUUGAACUGAAAACCAAACCAGUUUAUCUAACAGGCAACAUUUGGAUUUUUCAAUGGUGAAAGCGAUUGUCUGCUGCUUCCAUUUGAAGCAGUGAAAUUGAUGAGCUCCAUAGCAUAAUGACAAGAAACAUCACAUGUUUUGGGUCUAAGGUUUGUUCUAAAACAUGUGAUUUAUCUUGUUUAUGUAGUAUUUUUAUACUAAAAUAAAGUAAGUAACCUUUAAAGACGAUCAGAACUUGGACCCCAACUAGCUAAUGUAGCCAGAGGAAUAACAGUCUGAAUAGAGAUUCCAGCCAUAGUGACAGUUCUUGGAUUGUUGGCACUGGUAAAUACACAUAUUUUCUUUAUACUGAUAGUUGACAAAAACAUUGUAGAAAAAAAAAAGCUUUUUGUUAAACUUUUGGGGAUUUUAGGACAUUUUUGUCCAUUUUGUUGACUCUUUACUUUACAUUUGUUGAUUAUUUUGGCUGUGUUAUUUUUUCUUUCCAAAUUUUAAAAUGUGACCACUCAUUAUUAUGUCAGGUCAAUAUUCACUGUGUGACAAAAACACUACAUUAAAGACCUUGUCCAUCUAAGGUCUGUAACGUAACUUUUUUUAAGGAUCCCAGAGGGUUAAACAUGACUUGUUGGACUUGUUCAGUGUUUUAAAUUCUUCUGAUGCAAGUCAAUCUUUGCUGUUAUUUCUUAAAAACCCUUGAAUAUUCCAUCAGAUUUCUCCUUAUGUCCACAUAGACAGAUAUCUCCACGUAAGUGCAGCUGACACUGUGUACCAGAUCAAAAAUAUUAACAUUUUCAACAAGUAUGUUGAUAAUCUGGCAUGAUGCCUAUUAUCUUGGCUAUCAAGGAGCAGUUCAGAUAUCACUAAUCUAAUGGAAACAAGUCUCUUUAUAGGGUUUGUGCUGCUGAAGUGAGCCAGGGUGAGGCCUCCAUAUAACACUGAAACCUACUUAAAACAGUUGAAUUGGGGCUGCUCAAGGGAUCAUAAUGGUCCAGUAAAUGGUGUUCAUCUGCGGAUGUAAGCACUUCAUGGAAAUUGACCUCUUUGCAUAAAGUCAUUUGAGCCUGACUGUUGGCCACACUGGAAUAAUAACUGAGAAGUCAGUAUCUAUUCCCACAUUUAAUAGCAUUGCCAGACACUAAUUAGUGGUGAGUUUAAGAUUAAUAUAAACCUAAACCAUACAGUAUCAGAAAAUAUCUAAUUUGGUUUUCAGAUUGUCCAUCAAACAAGACUUCUUCCUACAGACUUUUUUGUUGCAUACAGCCAGUGAAAUUUUUAUUAGGCUUUCACCACCCAAAAUCUUCCCUCUCCUGCAGAUCCUUUCUCUGUAAUCAGAGUCUGAUUAAACGAAUCAAGGAACGCCAAACCUUCAGACAACCUGGCUCAUACAAACAAGCCAGACUGAAUAGAGGCCACUGAAGAGUGCAAGGACAGAGAGAGAGAGAGCAGGGCAAAGAAGAGCGGGGAAGAGGUCAACACUUGGGAGGACGCAGUGAGACUGUGGGGGUACUGAGUUUGUUCAGUGGGUGGGAGGGGGGACCGGGGGCAUCUGUCUACUGUUCAAUUUGCCAUCUGUGAGGCGUGCCUCUGCCAGGAUACCUAAUCAGGCAAUCCAUCACACCCCCAUAGAAACGCUGUCAAUUAUCCACCGUCCCAUGGCUGACAGUGGCUUGCAUGCCAUUCAAAAAGUUGCUGCCUUCCUGAGCGUCACGGUGUUGGUUUUUCAUAUUCAUCUUGUGUCUACUGUAGCAGAUCUUGAACCAGUCUAGUCUAGUAACAACCACUUGUUUCUUACAUUUUUAUCAAUGUUUAGCUACAUUUUAACUUCAGUAGUUGACACACUGUUUCAGUUUGCGGUUCUGUGACACAUAGUUAAUGUGAAGAGCGAGCCGUUAAUAUUAAUAUUUACAUUGAACUGUAUUAUGUGUGCAUGACUGCAUGAACAUUUUAUGGGUUCAAUGUGUUCUCAACCAGUUACAACUGGAACUAAGAGCUUCAUGAUUAACUUAUUAAUUUCCAUGAAGGUUUAACUUUUUCAUUAGAGUAGUUUUUCACUGUCGUGCCACUUGGUAAUCAAAGUAGUCUCUCAAACGGAUACUGUCCCCAUUUAACAUCUGAAAAUCCAUUGUGCCCAGAAUUUAUUACCCUGUAUUCAGAAAUUGUCAGUAAGAACAAACUCUUUCAUUGUUGUGUUUCUAUGUCCUUCUGGUGUUUGUCAGUCUGGAUGGCAUUAAAGGAAUAUUCCAGCUUGAAUGUAAGUUAUGGUCAAACACACCAUAACACUGAGUUAGACAACCCCUUGAGAGAUGAAUGUUGCCAUCUGCUUGAGUCUCUAUUUAUACCAACUUCAGCAACAACCGCACGAUAGCAAUACACAGCGGUCUUUGUGGGGGAGCCCUGAGGAGUUGAUCACAGAGUGCAGCAGUGUUUCACAGCUCGGGGAAGAACAUUUAUGAUCAUUUCUUCAUGGAAUUGCAAUCUGUAAACGAACAUGAUGGAAAGUCUGGAAGGUGCUCUGGUCCAUAUUCUUGUGUAUCUUGUAUGUGCACUGCAGACGUGGGAGUUCUAUUGCCUAAGCGUCUCGGUCUAAUUGAAUUUCCAUGAAGUAAUAAUCAUAAAUUAUCCACUGCACUCUGUGAUUGACUCAUCAGGGCUCCCCCCACAAACAAGCAGCUGCUGGAAGAGAGUGGGUGAGUUGUGUUUGAUCUCUUUGCUAAAGAAAUCAGGCAAAGCAAAGAUUUUUGGUGGCUAGUACUAUGGCUGUGACCCUAUAUGUACUGUUGAUGAAGUUAUGCGCAGUUUUGAGCAUUGUUUGUGGCUAUAGAGUGGCUUUUUUGUUAAGGUUUGCUUGUGGAGACAUAGACCGCUGUGUGAUGCUAUUCUGUGAUCGUUACUGAAGUUGGUAAAACUAGAGAGGCAAGGGGCAAACUCUUACAUCCUGGAGAUUAACAGCAAUAUUUUGGUCACCCUAAAAUAUCACACGAGUACUUUACUUAUCUUAAAUCUGGACAGAAGUAAGAAUCAAUCCACAUCUUCUUAAACCUUUGCUUUGGAAUAAACAACUGCUGCAUGUGUUGGAUGAUAUUUUUCAUAACUUAAAUCUCUAACAAAGAGGUGAAAAGACAAUGGUAUUACCACACUGAGUGUCUGAACAGUUAUCAUUGUACCUGAUGAUCACCCUUUGAACUUCUCUCGCUUGCUUUUUGUCAAAGGCUUUUGUACCGUAAAUCUGUACAUAAAAUCGCCGCAGCAAUUUUAAAAGUUCGAGAGAAUCAGCCUUUCCCCGAUCUCAUAAAGCUUUCACAGAAAAUAUUAAGGGAUGAAGUAGUUUGCAGCAGUGUAAACGUUUUAAGUCUCAUAUUACAUAAACCUACAAUUUAGUGGAAGUCUUAGUUGUGUGUACAGAAACAUACUCUGCUGCUCUUCACACAGGAGCUUAACAGGCUGCAGUUAUGAGAAGCACAACCACUGUCUGCUGGAGAUUGGCAGAAUAUCGACUACAAAAUGAAACGCUCAUUCAGUGGUGGUCUGAAUGCUUUGAAAAAGAUGGUGGGGGAAAGCAAAAUCACAUUUGGUAAUAUAAAAGAGCAGUCGUUUAGAAAGUUAAUGCUUCAUCACAAAGGAGCAGAUCUAUUAACAUGAGAGUUAAAAUAAAAUGUAAACUCACAGUCAUCACUGAGUCAUUCACCAUACAGCAUACGCCAAAGAAAAUCCUGCAUCUAAGUUUAUCAGUUCAUGUCCUCUAUUACGCCUGUAGAAAAAAGGUCACUAAGAUGAGGGCUUUAUUUAUUUAUUUAUUUUUUCAAACACUGAAUUUAAUUAAGAGAGAUGACAUAUAUACUGCUGCACUGCUCGUUCAAACAGCAAUAAGUAUUUACGGGGGUAAAAAAAAAAUAAAAAAAAAAGUCAGUAUGUUUACAUGGAUUUCAAAAAAUCGAUUUUUUGCCUAAGCUCAACUGGACUAAAAAAAACAUGAGAACACAUUAGUCCAGCUGAAUCACACUCAAUCAAAAUUCUCAAAGACAGCAUAACAUACCUGGAUAAUGUGGCCGAGGAUUGAUUUUCUUAUCCAUGUAUACAGCUUAAUUGGACUGAAAGUGGUCCAAGCACUCUGUGCACAUUGGACUUUUAACUGGACCUUGAAUAGCUCUAAUAUGUUGCUAGGAAUCAAAGAAAGGUAGUAGACAAAACCUGUACAGAUGAAAAAAGGACAUAUAAAUGUUGAAACUCCCCGUUAAAUUGUGUUUUCAUUCCACUGGCCUCUUGCUAAUAUAUUUUGCUGACUGUUUUAAUAAAUUAUAGGUCAAUAAAAGGGGGGCAUAAAAGGGGGCAUGUCACCACCUAACACAGAGGAGGAGGACGUGUUUUUGUCAAUACUUUGAUUUUUGUGAGGCGCUUGUAAACUGGGACAAGAACUGAAAUCUGACCAAAUCGCAUAAUCAAGCUGUUUCUGUAGCUCAACUCAACUGUGCUCCUGAGUGAGCUGUCCUACUUUAAGCUAAGCUCUAAUUUUUCUUUAUUUUAUUCCUGAGCAGGAGCCUGACAUCAUGGCCUGAGGGUUAUUUUUCUGCCCAUAAGAGUAAUGGAGCAGUGGAGAGACAACAGCUGCAAAUCUGCAACCAAACACUACAUAACCAUCAGAAUAUUGAUGCAAUUAUUUUGACUACUCUAACAAUUAAAGGGAUAUUCCAGCGUAAAUUCAAGUUAGACACCGCCUCAAGAGAGGAAUGUUGCCAACUGUUUGCUUCUCUUGUUAUACCAACUUCAGCAGUGAACACACGGUAGCAAUACACAGCAGUCUAUGUCUCCACACGCACACCUCAACCAAAAAAAGCACUCUAUAGCCACAAAUAAUGCCCAGAACAGCACCUAACUUCAUCAACAGUACAUAUAGAGUCCCAGCCAUAAUACUAGCCAUCAAACUUCUUUUUAGCUUUGCCAGAUUUCUUUAGCAAAUGGACUAAACACAACUCACCCACUCUCUUCCAGCAACCACUUGUUUGUGGGGGAGCCCUGACGAGUCGCUCACCGAGUGCAGCAGAGUUUUGCAGCUUAAGGAAGAACAUUUAUGAUUAUUAUUUCAUAGAGAUGCAGUAAGAGUUCUUGUGUAUCUUGUACUGGCACUGCAGACAUGGCAGUUCUUCUGCCUUAGCGUCUCGGUCUGAUCGUAGCUAGAGAAGCUAGUGGUCGGCAAAACUAAUCUCUCAAGGGGUGUCUAACUUGGUGUUACAGCAUAAAUUUAAGCCAGAAUAUCCCUUUAAGGUGGGGCAUUGGUUACUAAUUCUUGGCUGAGAUCAAGUUUGAUACAUUUUCAAAGCUUAUGUUAGCAAAUGGUAAAAAGGCAAUUACAUGUAAUGCAAGUUUUAGGUACAAAAUGUGGUGAACCUUGGAUAUGAAUGCUAAAACCAAAGAGUAAUUGAUAGAGUUAUUACAGGCAAGUGACAGCUGUCUGUCUUUCUGUCUGUCCCUCUCCUCCGUGUUGGUUUUAUUUUUUGUCGAUGCAGAACAGUUCUAAUUUGGAGGCCAUCAGCUCGCUAAAUGCACUCUAACUCUUGUUGGCACUGAGGUCACAUAGCCUGCCGAGCACGCUCAUAAACAAAUUAAUUGGCUUGCCAACACUAUUUAUGUGUUGUACACACACAACACCAAAUACACACUUCUUCUGUCCCCGCUGAUAGAAGGCAGGUACCUUUUGGUCUGGAAGGUUGUGAGUAGGUGUAAUACACCAUGCAAAUUAAUACGAUUUCAUAGAAUGAAUACUGACGAAAGGAUAAUUGUAUAAUGUUGUCAGUUUGAAGUAGAAGUCAAAAAUGAUUGUAUGGAAAAGGUAAAAAUGGCAUUUUUCUUUCAUUGGUAGAUAAUAUAUCUUGUGGAUCAACUAAAGUCUGUGUUGUAUUUAGUUUUCUCUACCAUAGAAACGGAUAAUUAAGCCAUGUAUUUGUAAUAUUUUAAGGUGGUGCUUCAUGUAUUCAUCAAAAUGAUAUAAAGUACAGAGCUAAAACAUAAUGAAGGAUAAAAGAGAGGUAUGGCUACAACCAAUCCUGGCCAAAUCUUCCACCUCUUCCUCAGUUCCAUUCAAUGUGCAGGCUGACAUCAAAUCAUUGGACUUCUGGGGUUUUAAAGUGUCCCUUUUUCAGUCCAUUACCUUGUACUGCUAUUUUCGGCGACCAACAUGGGGAGAUUGCCUAAGCUGAAUGAAAGCGAGUCCCAAACCUUUUCAGGGUGGUUCAGCAGGGUUUUAUUCUCAGGGAUUCACAACAGUAUCCUUUCGAGCAGUGCUUCACUGCCACUUGCAGCAGCAGCACGUGUUUAAAUAGCUAGGCAUGAAAUAUAAGAUAUCCCACAGAUGUAAAAAAAAAAAAAAAGGACAAGGUCAUGAGUCCAUAUUACACCCACUUUUCUGUCAUUUUGAUGAUCUGUUUUUUUCUUCCCUCAAAGAACGUAUGGACAGUUUAAGUAUUCUUCAUCUUAGGUCCAAGUACCACUGACAAAAUCCGACAAACAGCAUCAUGGAAAUGGUCCUUAUUCAUGAGCUUCCAGACCAAAAAAAAGGAAACAUAAUGCAGAGGGAGGGCAGAGAGCUCUGUUUUUAUCAAUAUUGGACAUAAAAUUGAAUGUGAAAACAGGAUGAGCUUGUAAGUUCUCCAGACUCAAGAGGUACAUGGAGGGGUCGCACAUUUGUGUUUCGGACCAUUUCCUUCAAUGUCAAUGAAUGGAAGUCUGAAUCGUCCUCGGUGAGGACCUUGUUUACUUGCAACUGCUUCACACAGUUUUUCCUUGCAGCAAGACAGACAAAACACUUCAGAUGCAUUGGGCAAAUAAAAUCUGGAUCAAUAUCUGCUCAAGCAAAUUAGCUGCUUGUUAAACACAUGACUAUUUCACAAAUAAAUGUGUGUCUUCUACAUAAUUUUUUCCCCCUUCUUUCUCAGUGAAACACAUACAAAUAAAGUAUUCACUCUUAGCAUUUAAACCUGCUGUACAGUAGGCUCUGCAAAAACAGAUUAACCUGCAGUUAAGACAGGUCACAGAACGAGGGCAUGAGAACAGAGUCAAGUAGUCAGUCUUGUUCCAAGCGUCAUUUGUAACACACACACCCUCCCACACACACUGCUAUUCCGGCUCGGGGCAAAACGGUUUACAAAAAAACCCGAAAUCUCAGUUGGCAAACACAUUCUUGAUAGGUGCAAGCCUGGUCUUGCUGAAGUAGAAAAACAGCUUGAUAUGGGGAUGAGCACACAUGCACACGGUGUGGUACUGUGGUGUCUCAAAUGGAGGAGGUGCGGUGAGUCUUUUUUUAGACCUGCAAACUGUCUUUAUCUCAUAAAUAGACAAGUUUAAGUGAGCCAACUGGCCACAGGGCUUUGUUACUACACAGCACAAUACAACAGAUUUUCAUUAGUUAUGAAAUACAGAGUGUGUCUGAAUGACAGAGACUUCAGGCAUCUGCAGGACAAAAAGUAUCACACCCCAACACUCAAAAGACUCUGAAUGAGGGUUAGUGGAGCAACCAAACCAGACAGAAUAUUUAUGUUGCUGCAAGCGCCAAAAACUAAGGAAAAUCAAAGACCUGAAUGUUUUAUAAAAGUUCAUUGGAGAAGAACUAUAGAAGAUUUGCAUGUAUAACUCAUGUCAUCCUCCAGAAUAGUUUAGGCCCAUCGGCAAGUGUCUUUCAGUUCAUGCUGGUGGUACAGCACACUCUACGGAGUGCCCUAAAUAAUGUCCAACAUAUAGGAAGUGAAAAACAAAACCUUGAGCUUAAAUAUUUGAACAACUUUUCCUUUAAAAAAAUUUAAACACUAUACAAUUAUCAAAGCACUAGGAUGCAUCUGUCUUUGAAGAGUAGUAAUAAUCAAUUUAAUAAAUUAAAAUUGAUGGCAUCUAAAUUCAUGCAGGAUAUAUGGACUUCUCCAAAGUAUGUUCAUACUGGUAAAUAUUUUAAAGUCGUCUGUUUGCGGGAUAAUCAUUUUGAUUGGACACUGAAGUUAUAAUUUUCAAGUCAAAUUGAAAACAUAACUAUUUUCCAUAAAAUUUUUGAACUGAUACAUUAAAUGUCUGCAGCUUGUCUAUGCCUGUACCAUGUUUUUUUUUUUUGUUGUUAAUUUGUUUGUUUGUUUUGUUUGGUACUCUCUCUUUCAUGUAGCUCCUUAAGUCUUUUAAUAUCUUUUUUUAACCAAAUUUAAAGUUUUCUACUGUCAAGAUGCUUCCCAUGUUGUUUUAACAUGUUGGUGGGAACUGGCAUUUUUACCACAGUGUCAAUAGGCAGAGGUAAAAUCUGCACUUUUUUUCUGACCGAUCAAAACAAGUUUCUAGAGAGAGCUUGGUAUUAAAGGAGAACUUUGAUAUUUCUUACUCUUGCUUUCCUUUCCCAUGUGUUUGUGUUUACUUAACUGGGGAGAACCAACUCUACCUUUUAAAGUUCCUAUCCACUCUAAAUGCUGUCAAGUGUUUCCCUCAUGUGGUUAAAGAUGGAUGGGAGUUGGUCUGAUCUUACAGGAUGGACUCAGUCUGAUCCCAUCUUUACACUGGGUCUUUGUAAUAAGAGUAUAGUGUAGACCAGCUUUUAUGUUAAAGCAGCUGAACAGUGUGCUCAUUUUCCAUUGCGUUUGGUGGCCGCAAUGGACAAAGCAGUAGUGCUUUUCCAGAAUGAUGACUGCAUUUCUCAUGAGCUCUUGUUCGUACUGUCGUGACGAUACAAGGUCUUAGGUCUGGCAUGUGGUUGUUUUGGGGGCGAAUGAAACAAGACAGGACUUACCGAUAGAAUUUUAUUUUAUUUUUUAUUUUUUUGUGACUAUCUGCAGGAUGUGUAAUGUAUAUAUUUGCAUUUCUAUAGAUGAAAUAUAGUAUGCCGCUGGUGAAACUAAGUAAUGUUGUAUUAUUGUGACUUUUAUUUUUAGCCUACAGUUACGUCCCGUUCAUAACAGUAAACCUACAACAGAUUGAAUAACUUGGCUAUAGAUAAGUAUAUAAAGCCAAAGUUGUCAGCUGUCCUUGGUUAUGUUAUUUCUUCAUAUCAAUAAGCCAGCAGUGUAAAAAAGCGCAGCUUACCUUACUAAGAGGAAUUGGGCUAAUUCAGGAUCCAACUUGAAUCCUUUCAAGCCCCACAACACUCUCCAUUUACAGCCUGCGUGCCGUAAAUCAUUUUGUCAGUGGGCAAUGAAUUUUGAAAGUAGGAGCUCCACUAUUUAGAAAUAUCUCAUCUUCCCUGCGAUGGGCUCAUUUGCCGUUGUAGGUGACACAGAUAUAUCAGGAGAAGCGAGAUACUUUUUAAAAUCUAGUUAAAAGUUCCCUACAGAAACAUUAGUGUCUUGGGAUGACACUUGUUGUGAAUUGGCACUAUAUAGUUGAACCAUCACUAUAUAGAUAACCAUCACCUCUAGACGUUUUUUAAAAUUAAUUAAUUAAUUUAUCUAUUUAUUAAUUUAUUUUUACCUAAAGCGAGUCAGAGUAUCUAAAGCUUUCCAUUUUUAAAAAUAGGAGAAGACCUGUGUUUCUGGAAAUGUAUCAUGCACACAAACACACACAUAUAAUUACAGAGCCUUAAACAGUAGUCAAACUGUGUGAAUGUAUGAGGGUUGGCUAAGAAGCUCUUACUUUCUAAAAAUAUUCAAUCAGUCAAGGCCUAAAACCUUAAGUGACAUUCACAACACAAAUUAAAAGAAAUGCACAAACUCUCAAAGACAGCCACUGCAGCUCUGUAUACCCAAUCUGUAGUUGCAAACACACACGCUCUCUCUUUUUCUCUCACACACCCACUCGGAGAGAUUAGACCAUCUGGCACCAUCUCAGUUGGACCUAGGCCGAGCAUUGCUCAUCCUACAACCACUGCCUGCACUGGGCAACCUGGGAAAUACAUGAACACCGCAUUUAAAGUGUAGUUAAUGUAUAAAACAAAGGAGCCAAGCGUGCAUCAGCACACAUGAAUACACAUGCUCCAGGAACCACACGCAGUAUGCAUAAAUGCAUUUAUAAAGUCAAAGAUGCAUUCGUGCCCCUCGCUCCUACAUGUACAUAAAUAGGCCAUGAGAAGUGACCGUACGAACCGCUCGAUAUGAUCCAUCCUCAUAAGGGAGGAGACGAGAGGGUUUUCAUCAAUCAGUGAUAAAUCAAUACCAAGAUGAAAAAGAGCAGCACAGAACACAGCACACAAUCAAUCUCUUUACCUCCAUUUGAAUCUUCAAAGUGUUGCUGUUUAGAGCUCUCAUCUGACCCAACCUAAGCGCUAUGAUCAAGAAAACCACUGUGCAAACUGGACUUUGUUUUCCAGUGAGCACGAAUUCUGCUCAGACAACUUGGUUUGAGCGAAACCCCAAACUGUACUCAAGCUUGCCUAGCUUUGUUUGCUCUCUGUGAUCACACAGCAGAUAGGGAUGAUAGAGAGAUUAUAAGCUAGUUUUUUUUAAAAAAUUUUUAUGUGUUUCAUAAGAGGCUCACAAGAAUACCAAUGCCUCUAACUUAAUUCUUUUCUUCACGGAUUAAGCACGGUUCUCCUCUCUCUGUCUGACCUUUUAUGUGGUCUUUUAACCUUCAGCCACCCUGACACGUAUCAGAAUCAUCUUCACCUUCUUUGCGGUGGCAUAACCCAAACUCUCAGCGUGAGUGUGAUAGCCAUAAACACUUUCUGUGAGGUGGUGAAGAGGAGCAUUUUUCCAUCGGCACUUUGAUUCUCUAGACUGCUUUGAAUAUAAUUAUACAAACAUCAUGCCUCACCUAGGUAUGUGUAGUUGGAUAAGAGGUAUUAUAUGAGUGCCAGAGCUGUAUUCACACAUGCUCAAAACUCUUAAAAACAGACAGUUUUUCUCCCUAACUUUACCUGGAACUUUUCCAGACAACCUUUUAUCAACUUUUUGGCAAAUUUCAGGAUGAGCUGAUGUGGGCACGCAGAAUAACCUUUCUAUAAAAUCCACCACAAAGAAGAGGGCAUGAGGUGAUGACCUUUAAAUCAUGUGGCCUGUGUUCCGUUUUGUUGCUCAUAGAAAAAUGCUGCUGUUGAAUGAAUUGGUUGCAAAAGUUGCCAGCUUUAAAUAUUUUUAAGAGUUGUAUCAUUGCAAGCAGGGAAAAGUUUACUGUAAGCAUGCAUGAAAAUCAGUUAUAUUACCCAAUUUCAGGUUAUUAGAGAAGCGCAUAUCUAUAGACCUGUAUCCGUUUCUAAAAAUGCUCCUGAAGAAGACUGAAUUUGUCAGGAUAACCCUAAGUAUGCUCUGUACGAGUACAGGAGACAUAUUUCUGACUGUGUCUGUAAUGCAAUGUGGAAGAAAACUCUGUGAUACCAAUAUUUCCCCUUUUUAGGGGACAGUGUCUAAGUACAAAAGUGUAAUGAUGGCGAAACUCUUUUCUAGCAUUGUUGUGGGAUGGCAGUGUGUAAGAGGCUCUCGACUGAGAUUUAAUUUAAAUAUGUGCAGAGCUGCUGAGCAGCACAUCUUAAUUGAAAACAUUAUUAGAUAAAGCACUGCAUGUAAAGUGAAGCUGAAAACACAUUAUAGUGUAAUAAAAUAAAGACAUAGUGAGACUGCCUUACACUCUAUUGGCUUUUCCAAUAUACAGUACACACACACACACACACACACACACACAUUUAUUUCCACUCAUUUGUUGACACUGUUGAUAUGCUUAAUAACCUGUCAUGAUGAUGAAAAAGGGAAUAAAUCCCUGUAAAAGCACACAACUCUGCUCCUCAUCUGGCAGCUUGAAGGCAGAUGCUAGCAACAACACAGAGGCUCACACUCAAAGUUAUGUCAGAGGUUGAAAACUAAAUAUAUAGAUGAUUGAAAUGAAUAAAUCAGCAGUUUUACUCUCAGAUACACGAGUAAACUUCAUACUACUGCAGCUUCUUUUGACAUCAUGUCCAGCCUUGUGAGACUCUUGAAAAUUUCAGGGGCAGAGCUCCUGAAAUAGUCAGGUCCUUUUCCACAGUGCAUGUAUGAAACAGCUUUUGCAUCACUUUGUCUGUUGACCAAAUUUUCAUCAAAUGCUUUGUCUGGCAAAAUUCCACCCAGAAAUACAGAAUAAUUUUCUUAAAUAGCACUUGAUACAAACUACUAGUUGAUGCAAAAGAAUGAAGAACUGUGAAGGCAACAUUUGAUUCUCCUCUCAUUCGCAUUUGUUUGCUCAAAUAUUAAGGACGCUUAACCCUUACAUACCCUUCGGGUCAAAUUUGACCCGUUUUGACUUUGAACAGCAGUAAAAAUACCCCAAACAUCAUUUUUUAAGCCUGAAACUUGAUGACUUUUCCUGAAGUUGCCCAAAAUACAUGAAAUUAAUUUAAAAAUAUUCAUGUGUAUUUUUGUUUAUGUGCUACAAAUUUUUCCCCUCUAAGGCUCUUACGGGUCAAAUUUGACCCGUAUCUAUAUUCAGAUGGAUUUUAGAUCUAGCAGUGUGGGACAAGUGACAAACAGUAACAACAGUGUUCAAUAUAAGGUUUGUUGUUCAAAAAGAUAUAUUCAAAUUAUUAUGAAACUAUCAUUACCUUGACAGAAACACACACACACAUGCACACAGACAUACAGUCCCGCAGACACAAUGAGACAGAGGUCAAGAUGACCUAACCAGUCACAAGAACUUUCUGUGACAGAAAGCUGCUCUUUGAACUCUUUGAAGGGGCAGGGGGAUCCUAAAAUAUAGAAAUAGUAAACAAACAACACAUGAGUGAUCAAAGAUGGAGAACAAAGGGAUCAGAAGUCAUCCGGAUGUCAGAGUGUGCCUUGACACAGAUGUAACAUGUGCACCUGCUUCUGCAAUAUAAUGUACAAAGUAACAAAUUGGAAUAUGUUUGAUUGGGAGGGAGGCAGUGGGAGUUGUAACUUUAUGAGAGUACAGAGAGCGGCCAUUUCACUCGCAAAAACAUGUGCAAGCUCCACACAUGUAAAGUGUCCUACCUUUGCUUUGAAUGCAGAGACUAGCAGUGAGAACAGCGACAAACAGUGAGAACAGUGUUCAAUAUGAAGUUUGUUGUUCAUAAAAAUAUAUUCAAAUCAUUAUGACUUUUAUAUUUUUAUGUUUUACAUAACAUUAGAUGACAUUAUAUUUAUGACGUUGACGUUUAUACUGAUGACGUUUAUACUGAUUUUAUACUUUUUUCUCCUUUUUCUCUAUUCUAUUUUAAUUUUUGCUCAGCUAAUGCUUUUCAAUUGCCCCUAGGUGAUGAAUAAAGCUAUAGUGAAUUGAAUUUAAUUGAAUUGAAUUAUCCCAUGUAAUAGAUGUUCUUCUCCAAAAUAUAUGUAUUUCACCAAAAAACGAGUGGUGUUAAAACUGAAAAAAUACACUUUCCCUGCUCUUUGAAACAUUUAGGAAGGACUAAUCAAUAAUUUUUUGAAGUAGCAGAGGUCAUUUAAACAUUAUGAAUAGGUUUGGGGUUAGAACUUUGGUGAAAAUACUUGCUACAUGGGCAAUUCUUGGUCUGGGUCAAUUUUGACCCGGAAGGUACUGUGAGGGUACAGGAUUUGAAGAGUGCGUGAGGGUUAAGCUUUGGUAACACUGCAAUUCACAGAAAGUUGCAGAACUGGCUGGGCCAGUGAAUCAUGAACAAAAAUACAUCUGUUUAUGUCACGAGACUUAAAUUAAUAUCAAUCCUGUGGUUGUGCAGUCAGUGAACGGCAGUAUAGGUGUGGUUACCUUAGCCAUGUUUACAAGUGCAAAAUUUCUUGAUCCGAUUAAAAGUUUGAGGGAUUAAAUAACCCAAAUCCAUAUGGACGCGUAAUCAAAUAAUCCGAUCAUGACAUGCGUAUACAUGCACCAAGAUUUUAUUCAGUUUAGAAGCAUUUGGACAUGUGCAGAGUUGUCUAAUUUCGCUGAAACGCAGAUUUUGUGCCACACCGAUAAUAGUAAUCCUAUCAAUAAGAACAGCGGCAGCAAAAAACAGAGAAAUUUUGUGUUUUUGAAUUCAAUUGAAAAACUCUGUUUCUGAAGAUGAUCGUGGCUCAAGGUAACCACUCGAAAUGGAAUACAGAACAUUUAAUUUACUACUCCGGUCGUUACCAUGGAUUUGGUGUCCAGCUUUUUGGACACAGCAUUUUCCUUGCAGCUCUUAAAAUAACAGCAGAGGAUACUGCUGGGAUAAUCUCUGCCUCAAACACACAUUAAGGCAUGUGCAUGCAGCCCACAACAAGCCCUACAUUCAAAUUCAAGGAUGAUAAUGUGGGAGUCUUUUUUUUUUUUUUUUAAUUGGGGUGAGUUCGUCAGAUUGACAGACAGGAAGGGAGAGGAGAAAAAGAGGAGCUUUUAGCUUCCCGUCCUCUUUCAGACAACCCUCAGGAGCGUCCAGACAAGAAGGUAUUCAGUGCUAAAUCCCUUUAAUCUCACACAUCAAAAAGCAACUCACUUCCAGCACUUAACCAUCUGAAACUACUGAAAAAAAGCCGGGACCUGCAGUUUCAUCUUUCCAACAAAACAUGGAAAGUUUUUUUGGCAGUAACUUUGGGAAGCUAUGGUAAUAUACAUGUUUGUUUGAUAUUUUUGUCUCUCUCUAAGACACUUUCUCAAGGCCAUAAGAAUACUCUCUACCUCUACACCUGCACUGUUAAAUGUACCUUUUUGCUGUCUUAAUACGCUCCACUCCACUUGUUUUCUCCUGUUUGCUUUCAGAUUCAGUUUUUCCUCUGUUCCUUAUCAAAGUCCUCGCCUCCUAAUAUCAUUCUCUGCUCACCCAUUCCACUGCAGAUCAUGAAGCAGACGAUACCGCCACACCCCCGAGCUUUUGUAAUACAGGCGAGUCAGUCAAAUGGAUAAAUUAGUGUCCCUGCUCCUGUCCACCUCCCUAUUGGAGGUUAUCUCCUCGCUGCAUCACACCAACAUGCAUCAUGUUUGAUGGCUGCGGGCGGCUAUUCAUGUCAACUCAAACCCACCGCCGAACAACCCCGGCCUCUGAGCCAUCAAUCAUGGCAUCCUUGCACAAACACAUGCAAUACGUCGUCAAACAGUGAAAGCAUGUCUAUACAUUCAUAAUGGAACACAUACACUCACACAAGUAAUUUUUUUUUUUAGCACACAUUAACAAAUACAAGCCUUCUGGCACACAAUAAUGCAAAGACGCUACACAAAGGUCUUCAAUUUACGAUCAACUGGUGCCAAAUUAGCCAAGUGAUAUUGCAUCAUAUUGCAGCAGCCAAUGAAACAGUCGGUCAGUUUGCUUUCAAAUAAAGACAACAGAGGAAAGCCAGGAGAGAUUAGGCGUCACUUAGAUGAAGGAAUGAGCAGCGACAAACAUGUCAGCCAAUAAGACAGCUCAGCACGUGUCAAGAUGACUGAAACAUUUUGUAGUAUAUGGGAUUUCAGACACUCCACAUAAAGUUACAACAACACCAAAUUAAGGUUAGCACUGACUCAUCAUGACUGGGUUAGGCUGCAGCCAAUAAAAAACAACAAAGUCGUUACAAAGCCAGAUUUUCCACAUCAAUUUAAAGCCAUUUUUUUUAAUUUAAUUGAACAAAAAUAAGUUACUUUAAAAGGAAAAUGACUACAGAAUACAAGCAUAAAUUACUUUCAAAAAUCCAGCCUAGCAUGAAAAAGAGUGGAAAAAUAAUAUUCAAAAUCCCUUAUUGCUUUUUCCCCUAACCCAUUGGGAAUCCACGCAGGUAAAUGCAGUCUGUCCCACAGCUCUUCAGUAUUCUUUCCAUAACCCAAAACACCCCAAAAUUGAUAAAUGCAGUAAUAAAAACACAGACCUGAAACACACCACACCUCUGAAGAGACAGCUUUUACCCUCAGGCUGCUAGGGCUGUAAACAGCAGUCUGACGCGCUCCUCUGUUGUUCUGCAGUUUGUUGUUUUUAAUGUCCUCUGAAUGUCCUCGACUGUCUUCUCAUUUAUUUAACGCACUUGUUUAGCCAUAAGCAGAAUUUUUAAUGUAUCCAACAAAGUAAAACAAAUACAUAUCACAGUCAUAUCAAUGAUGUCUGUGUUUGCCCAGUGACCACUCAGCACUGCAAACCAACGUGUCUCCUCAACCCUCCAACGCAGGUAUUCAGUCCAUUUCAGAGAUCAGUGCUGAAUAUUUGUUAUAUUAGUCCACACACGUAUAGACCUCAGAUGGAUUUAGGAUUUAAUUUCCCAAACGCAGAGAGUCAGUAAUACAGUGACACUUGACACCAUAUUUAUUUUCUCCCUAAAUAAUGGUUGUCUUCAGGGAAUCCAGGGAUAAUGUUUAUCCACAUAAACUGAAAAUGAGCUCAAACUGCCAAGUGAUUACAUUUAAACGACACAGAAAUCAGAAAGCAAGCACAUCAAAGAUUUCUCAAAGAACAAACCGAUGUGAAAGAUAGAAGUAUGUAUGGACAUUUGGCUGGCUGCAGAUGUUGUAGUAUGUUUUGUAGUAUGUGGUGCCUGUUGGUGUAUUUAAACCAUUGCUUGUAGUCCCUUCUUCGAAAAUCUCACUGGACAUGACUUACAAACCGUAUGUCUCUGAUCUUUCACAGAAACGCUGUAAUACUCCCACACUGCUGACAUUUUCUCUAAUGUUUGACCAUGAAAAUAAAUUAGAGCUGACUCUUUCCCCAAACCCUCCUCUCUGAACCAGCAUUUAGGCAUAUAGCUUUUUAGCAUGAAAGUGAUGUGAAACAACAGCAUGGUAACAGUGCAUGGCACAUCAUUUGCUCCUGGGCCAGAGCCUGUCAACUGAGCAAUCGUUCCAACUCAUACCUGUGUGUGUGUGUGUACAUAUGUAUAUAUAUGUAUAUAUAUAUAUAUGUAUAUAAAUGUAAAUAUAUAUAUAUAUAUAUAUAUAUAUAUAUAUGUAUGUAUAGGGAGUGUGAAUCACCAGUGGCUCCACAAUUGAUUUUAUCACGAUACUUGGGCCACGAUACAAUAUUAUUGGGAUUUUUUACAUUUUGCAAUACAGUGAGUGUUGUGAUAUAAUAUAUAUCGCAAUUGAUAAAAUUUUUCAACUAUUUAGCUUAUUAAGUAUUUGUCUUUUUUUUGUCUUAUUUACAUUGUAUUUAUAUGAGCACAUCUCGCAAACUUUUUGUUUAUUUGUUGUACUAACUUUCUCCUGCUUUAUGGUGUCACCUCUGCCAAAAUCACUUGACAGUUGAUUUUAUUUUUUCAUGAUCAUAGAUUUGACUUCACAUUAGCAAUUAAUUUGGAAAUAACUGGUCAAUGAGAUGAUAUGAUACAGCACUAGACAAAAUAUUGCGAUUCUAUGCUGUAUUGAUUUAUUCUCCCAUCCCCAAUACAUAUAUUUAUCCUGUUUUACCAACAGGAAAGGCCUGUUUUUAUGUCUUGGGAUGAAAACUAGGACUUUCAUUGAGCCACUAGAAUGAAGAAGAAAACUAAAGAUACAGCAAAUAUCGUUGCCAGACAGAGUCCUGUUUUUUGGUAAUCAAUAAUGGUUAUUGUAAUAUACUGUUUAUUUAUAUAAAGUUACAAAAGCAUCAGCUCAGCUUCUCUUACUUGCUGGCCUCAUGGUGGUGCAAUGCCUAAUAGAAAUAUAGUUCCUGGUUUAAAACCUCGGCCAAGCAGGAGCCUUUGAGUGGAAUUUAUAAAUUCCUGUUGCAUGUGGGUGGAUUCUCUUCCUCCUACAGUCCCCAGACAUGCAUGUCAGGCUAAUUUGUGACUCCAAAUUACCCUGUAGGUGUGACGGUGAACGUAUAUGGUCCCCGUAUAAGGCAUGGGCCUUAACCACCCCUGCAGCUCUGAAGGUGAUAAGUGGCAUAGAUUAUGGAUGGAUAUUGAUGGGACAUAACAAAGGUACCAUGAUUGAAAUAUGGGUGGUAGUCCAAAAAACUGUCAGCAAUAAGACACCAAUUGUCAAUAUGAGAUUCAGUAUAAUGUUAUUAAGAAUCCACAGAAUUUUUUUACCGUCAAGCUACUGCAUCUGCAUCUGUUAAAAUGUAAAAGUACUUCAUAAUGAGAUGUCAAUACUUCUGUUUUGUUUGUACUUAGAAAAAAAGCCAUUAACUUCAAGGAAACGCUGUUGCCAACCUAGCAACUGUGUCGUUAGAUUUAGCAACUUUUUAGACCCCCCCAGCAAUUUUUUUUGCGUCGCUAGAUUUGGAGUUGAGAGACUCUGAUAUGAAAGCAGGUAUCGAUGUUACUCUUCCCAACAAGUCGCAGGUAAACACCAAAAACAAACACCGUGGAAGACUCCUCCUCUGACUUCUACAACAGCCAUUAGUGACUUUCCUCACUGAGAAGUUAGCAACACUGGAAAGAAAAUGUCCAUUAAUUCAACCACCCAAUGAGAACAUAGUUGCAUACACCUGUAAAACCUGUCAAAUCUCAGGAACUACUUUUAUUUUAGAUUUCCAUUCACAUAUUUUAAAACGAUAAAACUAUCUUUGAAUCGUUACUGAAGCCACCUUGUUUGUAUGUUCAGUAAAACGUCAGGAAAUAAGCAGAAAAUGUACAGUAAGUGAGUGAGUGGUUAUGCAAAAUAAGACUAACAUAUUUUUACUUUGUGAUUAUAUAAAAUGUGUAAGUUAUGCAUCCUCUGGGAUUCAUGUGAGACUAUUCUCUAAAAAGAUUCAAUCUUAAACUGUUAAAGCAACAAAGAUGAACUGAGCAUCACUGUAAUGAUGCAAUCUGAUCAGAGAAGAUGAUACAAAUGUGUAUGGAUCAUUAACUACAGCAGAUCAAAUAUCCAGCUGAAAAUCAAUAAGUCAGAUUGAGAGAUCACGUAGAGAAGAAAGCUGUUCUAUGAUACAGCCUGGCUCUGUGUCACAGGAAUACAACCGUGUGAUUAGUGAGUUGUCACACAUUGUCUUGAGCUCCAUGCACAUCUUCCCCUGUGGACCCAUGUCCAUGUCCCCAGGCUGAGUGUCACUCCAAGUCACCCCUCCCAUCGAUUAAAGCUUGAUGGUCAUAAAUCAUCACAGUCAACAACAAAAAAGGAUAAAGCUCCAAAUGCUAACUCCUGAGUUUAUGUGCAUCUAUGAAAGGUUAGAGCUUGUCUGUGAGCAAUGGUUUUCUCCUUUUAUUUCACAAGGGGCUCUGUCCAUAACAACUGAGGUACUGAGUUUAUAAUCACUCUCAAAGAUCUAUGCUCUGCUUUCACUCCUCUUUAUAAAGAUUUGGCCUCCAGGAAAGAUUCUCCCUAUCACAUUCAUCGACAGUCUGAAAAGCUAUUGUUAAUAAUUGCAUUUGAAUGUCCCCUUAUUAAUACAGAUGAAUUAAGCUGCUGAACAAGGGGAAAAAAAGACACACAGGCCCAGACCAAGGACAAGGUGCUGAAAGAUGAUGGAAAAGUAAAAGAAAAAACACUGCACACAAGUGUCACCUCUGAAAGGAGACUUGAUGCUUGGCACAGUGUAUCGGCACAAUGGGAUAUAACUGAGUGGCUGUAAAAGGAAUAAAAAAAGACCUGUAAGCUGUGGAAAUAAUAGGGCUUGAACAAAAAGAGACAUUGGAAACAGGAAAAUGACAUCUGUAUGAGAGAGCUUCAAAAAAAAUCAGGCAAGUCGUCAGGAAGCAAUAUGAUUUAGGGAUGACCAUAGACUGUAUAUAGAAUGGACAGAGUCUGCCUCCUCGCUGGCCACUCUGAGAACAGCACCCUCUGUUGAUGGACUGCAGUAUAGGUCAUAAAUCCCGCCCCCGCCAGCAAAGCCUAUGGGGCUGUGGACCAACUUUGGAAAUUUAUUACACAGAACAUACAUUUUUCUCCCUCCUGCUUGUGAUGUUGACAUGUAGUUAUUGUAAGACUGGUUUGUGUUCAAGUCUUCUUUUUUCUGUGAAGCUCCAUUUUUAAAAGUUAUUAGGGGGUUCAUGUUUGCUAUGAUUGACACCUGAUACAGCCUAUGGGCGUUCAGGGAUUGCGUAGCUCUCCCGGGGGGAUACGCUGAAAAAUCGCAGAAAAACCGGGAGCCUUUUUGGCUUCAAAUCCGUAUACAGGCGGGAGGCGGAACCAAGUUGUCCAUAGUAUAUACAGUCUAUGGGGAUGACAGAACAAGUGAUAUAAAGAGAGGGGUGAGGGUCCGAUAAAUCUGAUUAUAAUAUUUGUUUUUCUUAUCAGAAGCUGCCCCAACUUCUCCCACACCCUCAACUUCCCAAGCCUCCUAUACCAACUGUAUGCUGUAUGUUUCAAUCAGGGCGAGACAGCACAUAGCUGUGGUUCUUUGUAGAGGACAUAUGAGCACGGCCUUGAUGGGUUGGACUGUCUGUCAUCUGGUGUAAUGUGACUAAAUGUGUAUGUCCUUGUAAAGGCAAGUAGAGCUGAAAAAAAAAGAGGCAGCUUCUGUUUGGACUGAUGAUUUUUAUUGAUUGUGUGGUGUUUUUUUUUUUGUGUGUUUGAACAUCCUUAAAGCCUCUUCUUCUUUUCUUUGGUUGUGUCCUCAGUCCCUGGUAUGUUAUAAAAGUACAUGCGUGUGUUAAUUGUUUUUUGUGAGUUAGGAUAUAAGCAUAGCCUCCUGCCAUUAUAUGAAUUUGAAGCCAAAUAUCUCUCUGUAUUUCUGGGAUUUUUUUCCAUUUCCUGAAACCUGCAUUUGCACAGUAGCGUUCAGCAGGAGAAUCGCUGUGACUCUUGGCUUAAACGGAAUAUGCCCAGAUGUCCUUAGCAAUCUUUUUUCACCCAUUGACUGCAUGUCAAUCAUAGAAGACAUGUCAUUUCCUGUUUUUAAUAACCCCUAAUCAGUGCCAAGGACCACCUCUAUGAACUUAUGAUAUCCAUAGACUAUAUAUAGAAUGGACAGCAUCUGCCUCCUUGCUGGGUGAAGCCAAGAACAGCAGCUUUUGGUGACGGGCUGCAAUUUAGGUCACAAAUCCCGCCUCCUCCAGCAAUUCCUAUGGAGCUGUGGACAAACUUUAAAAAAUAAUUAUACAGAAUAUAAAUUUUUCUCCCCUGUGGUUGUGAUGUUGAUAUGUAGUUACUGUUGAACUGUAUUUUCUGUUCAGCUCCAUUUUUAAAAGUUAUUAGGGGGUUCAUGUUUUCUGUGAUUGACACUUGAUACAGCCUAUGGGCAUACCAAGAUUGCGUAGCUCAACCAGGGGGUAUGCUGUUUGAGCAUGACGACUUGCCAAAUGCGUACAGUGCUACUGCGCAAGUGGUGGUUCCAGGAGAUGGAGAAAAUCCCAAAAUACAGAGAGCGAUUCAGCUUCAAAUUCGUAUCAUGACGAAAGGCAAAGCCAAGUAGUCCAUAGCAUAUACAGUCUAUGAUGAUAUCAUGUUUGCUAUUUUUAAGCAUAGUAUCAGUUUUUUAUAAACCAGUAAAUAUGGUUAUGGUCAAUAAUAUUGCGACAGCCCUACAGUCUGAAGUACUCCUCUGUUGGUACAACACUUGUGUUGCAUAGAUGGACCUCCAAGCAAAUUUAAAAUCAUUCACUCCUAGAUUUAAACAUGCACCAGUCUCUCUGUGUAUCAAAUUCCUGGCACACAUGUCAGGAAAUAUGCACAUUAAAGGACAUUAGGACCUGUGUUUGUUAUACAUUUUAAUAUAAGGGCUCUCCAUCUUCUUGUUUCAGUAUCUGCAGUGAUUCAUUACUUCACAACAAGGUGAGAAAUUAAAAACAGAACCUGAGGAGACGAGUCCCCGGGGAGGCUUAGAAUGUGCACAAGUUAGGUGUUCUGUUUACUUAUAUGCUAAUUCCUGCCCAUGCUUAAGCCCACACGUAAAAUGGAUUUUCUGCAUCCAGCUAUUAAAUAAUGAGCUCUUACCAUCCAGCUGUUCCCUGUCUUAUUUUCCACUUGCUCUCAUGUUCGUGAGUAUAUCUCUUGUUUACGCCCUGUUUACUCACUUCUUAGCUUUUUGUGCUACUGAAACAAGUGAUCGCUAUCGGUGAGGAAUAUUUAUAUUUUAGUACUUGCUUGAUUACUUGUUUACUUGAAUUUCACCACAUUUUACCCAAUUGUUGGUACUCUUUUAUCCCCAGAAUGCCAGAUUAAGUUUUAUAAUCUGAAAGACGUAUUUCUGCCCUGAAGCUUAUUCAAAACCAAAGGUGAAGCUCUUUGAAAUUCAUGUUUAUUAAUCUGAAAAACAAAUCAGUAAUAUUGAUUGCUGAGAGUUUUGGGGGUUUUGGUUCUGACAAGGGAAAUUAUUGCGGCCAAGUCUAAAAAUUCAGUCUGAAAAUGACAAUGCUCCGUUUUUCAUAUGAGCAAAUUUUCUUUACAUUUGACACUGACGUAUGCAGUGACAGAAUCAUGGUUUACAAAAAAAGAUACACGUUGAGGAAAGGUUUAGUGUUUCAUACAUACUUGCUGUAAAUCCUCCUGUGACGUUUGCUUAAUUAAAAAAAUGUUCUUUUUCUGUCUAAAAGAGGCUAAUCUGUACACUAAAGACAUACAAAACUGGGUAAUUGUGCUUCUAAAUGCAUGACGCAUCAAGUUUAUCCAUCUGCCCUGCAUUUUUUUAAAUGUCUCAGGCUGUAGUGUGGGUGGCAAAUACCAUAUGGGAGACAGUUUUAAAAUAAGGUAUAUUAGAAAGGCACAGGAGAAAAUCUGUUAACCUCACAGUGAUGACUGGAGUCCACAAGACACAGCUGUGAAACAAGGGAUUUAACAGCACAGACUUCCCCUGAACUACUGUAGAAAGCAUCAAGAGGAGGCCGGGAUUUGUCCCCACAUCGUUUUAGGAGGUCUUAAGCUCUUCAUAGCUUCUUGUUCUCACAGAACCCAGCUUUCUUACAACCCAGCAGCCUCUCUGCGCUGUAAAAGAGGACAGCAUCCACAGACUACAAAAGCCCCAAGAAAGACUGUCUGCAGGAUGGUGACUUUGUUUUCUGUAAGCAGUAGUCACAGCUUUUUCUCGGUGGCUUUGUCUUUAUCACUCAAGCUAAUGCCUCUGCUGCAGCUGCCUGCCAAGCAAGUCACAAAGCUGGGCAGCAGCUUUAACAGUUAAAGUCAGAGCCUGCCUCUGCCUGGUUUUCCUGCAAUUUCAGCUCAAGUUGUGGACUACAAAUCAGCUUCGACAACAACUGCAUGUUACAUUGGGGAAAACAACUCACAAUGCUCUGUGCAUACUGUAUACAUAGAGAAAAGUUGUUCAAAUUCUGCUCUUAAACUUCAAUUACAAACCAGUUUUUGAUAGUUUACUCAAACUCACACUCUCCUGGUGUUCAAAGGUAUCAGAAAAGAGGCCUGAGGAGCUGCUGCAGGUGACAAAGAAAAGGAAACUUCACCCAACACACACAACCUCUGGUGUUAUGGUGAGCUGUUUCCAGACAAAACAUUUCAUCAUUUUAAAUAUUUCAUGAAAUACAAACAUAUUUUUACAAUAUUCCAAUACUAGAUUACAUGUUUUUAGCAUUAAGUGGUUUUCUUUUUCCUUUGUUUGUGUGUUUCAUUUUGCAUCAUUUUGCAUUACAUUUCUGUAGUGCUUUCUAGUGUUAGCAUCAUUCGCACACAUCUAUGGAAGCCUCCAGUGAAAGGCAUGUUUCUGCCUUUCACCAGCUGCAGUGCUUUUGCCAACUAACCCUUGACACCCAGUACUUGAGUGAGUUUAUAACACUGUUUAAGGUUGUAUAAUUUUCAUUUUGAUCCCUGGCAGUUGGAUUGUAAAAAAGUUGAGUAGGUGGGAGAUGCAGAAAAUGCUUUUUCAGUGGUUCAUACAUGGAAAUAAAUAAAAUGUGCACUUAUCUUUGGAUUCAGUUAUUCCUAAAUGUCAAAAAAUGGUUUGCAUUUAGUUUGAGGAAUCUACGUCAGUGUUUUGGCAGCUGUGCACAUUUGUAGCUGCAGACAGUUAAAGGGAGUCAGAGUUUUAGGAAGCUGGAUCCUGUGGGCUGGUGUCUCAUUUUCCCACCUACCUGGUCUGGGAUGCUGUUUGCUGAAAGUUGUGGAAAGGACAAAAAUGGGAGAAUUUCUGGGUUUAUCUACUGUUUCUGUCUUUCUGAGGAUACAGCCCACUGUUGUUCAGGGGACAAUUCAACUUCAGUGACUCAGCAGCUGCUGUGGGCGGUAAAGAAACAAUAUGCAGCACCAGGAGCUGUCUCACAAAACAUAUUAAGGAUAAAAGGAGCUUCUUCUUUGCCAAGUUGGAAGAAACUCCAAUGUGUUUAGGAAGAAAAAACUUUUUUAAAAGACUAAAUUGCAAAGCGGUGGCUGUUGCACUAGCUGGGCAGCACAGCUUGUGAUGGAGCUUUCUGGGGUGCAACAGAUGCCAGAAGCUGGACCAUAAAAACUUUGUAUUUUAUAAUGUAUUACUAUUAAAAGGAAGAUUAAGUGUUACACAUAAGAUGAAAACAUAUGCCAGAUACUAUAAUUGAGUCUUGUUCACUUAAAGAGUUUUUCAGCAAUCUAAAAUUAAUGCUCUUCCCUCUUUAUGACCUACAAAAGCAAACUGUUAGUGACAAAACUGAUGAUUUCUUGGUAGGUAUUUCUGAUGGUUAAAGCGCUGCCAGAAGAAAGCAGUCCCUUUUUCUUUUUUUCUCCUUUUUUUUGUAUUUUAUAGUUAAUAUACACAACAAGUUUACAUGUCUAUUUUAAAAGACAACAUUUUUUUUUUUGUUAAAAAAAGCCUACCUAUACCACAACCAGAUAGGCUCAUCAUAGAGAUGAGAUGCACAUGGGGGUUUGAAGUUCCUUAAAGGAGCUUUAAAUCUCACAAUAAUGCUCUUUGUUCUCAACCAACUGAAUCCUUGCCGAGUUUUACACCAGGACACUUAAGCUUUGGCAUCCUGCCAUCCUGUAUUUGUUCUGCCAUGUCAAAUCAACACCACAUGACACACACAAUUAAUCAUCAAUAUGCAAACACCUGCAAACAUGCAUGUACAAAAACAGAAACUUGUACCGACAUGUUCAUGUAGUCACGAGUUAAGACAUGCAUCCUCACACACACUCUCCCAGAACACCAGACUGUAUCAUCAACUGCUUUGGGUUUCACUCAGCCUGUCUGGUAGCUUAAAAGCUGGCACUCUCUCUUCUUUUGGUAGAUCACCAUGGAAACCAACAAUGCCUGCCUGACCUGCUUUUGAGCAGGUGCAGGAUCGAAUAUAUAGCAUAUGAACCCUCUGCCAGCUUAUCUGUCACCCUCCUGUAAACAUGUGCACUUAUGUCUGCAUGGACAUAAUGAUUACUGUGUUCAUGUUUAUGUGACAAGUGUGCACUGGAUGACCUGAGCCUGUGGACAGCUCAGUUUUCUAAUGAGCAUUUUGACCGCAUCAUGAGGGGUGAUAUUUAAGUACUACAAGGGAUAAUGCAAGUAUCAGGGAAUUAUUAAAUCACAGGGAAACAAAAGGUGACUGUUUAUGUUUUACAAUUUCAGCAAUUCACAGAUGUAGGGAUGAUGAAACUGUAAACAUAAAGUGUCCAUUUUUACGUGGUUACACAGAACUAGCCUAAUAGAUGUGGCCCAUUACUUUCAUAAGAUUGUGUCUGAAGUAGUGGCUGACAACAGAUUUCUAUCCAUUAGACUAAAAAGCUGUUAGUUUACCUACAACUAUAGUCACUGAAAAAUAUUGAGUCCAUAUUUCUUGGGCAGACACACAAUGCAAUGAAUUUACUGCCCUCUAAAUCAUGUAGAAAUAUAGCAGGAUACACCUGUCAGCUAAAGCACACAUCACCUAAAUUUAUUCAAUUCAGGUCACUUAUAAAAAAAAUAAAAGAAUCACCCCCUCAAUAAAGUUGUAAAGAGUGUAAAAGAAACAGGAGUUGAUGUUAAGACCAUGAUUUUCAUCAAGUUACAAACAUAUUCUAAAUAAGGCAUUUUCAAAAAAAGGCAUAACAGGAGAUUUAUUUUUCAAGAUAUUUAAAUCAAAGUAGGUUCACUCAUCAAGAUAAGUUAUUUUCUUUUCUUUUACAGUUAAUCUAUUACUGUCAUUGUUGACUGGUUAUUAGUUGUAUUGCCUUUAUUUCUCUUCAUUUAUAGCUCUUUAAAGAUGUCAGCACCAAGGUCAGAGAAUUAUUUCCUUCUUAUACUAAUUUGAUCAUAAGGUAGACAAGUGAAAACUCUCACAUGUAUUUACAGGUAAUUGCAUUUAAUAAAAUGUGUUUUCAUGCAAUCUGCUGUGUACAUAGUUCAAUUCCAGUGGUGCAAUUACAAUUUGUGUGUUUUAUCUCUCUGGAUCUCCCUUUCAGCUCACGCAUCGACCUAAUUUCCCCUCAGGGAUAGUCACUUUUAUCUCAUCUCAAAUUAAACAUGCUGCUCUUGAUCUGUUGAUGUUGCAUAUGAUUGCAAUUACAUGUGAGCACGGUGAUAGCUGGAUGGGUUAACUUCAGGUUGAUGCAUACAUCUGCCAACCGUCUUUCAGAAACCAGUCAUACAGGAUCAUUGGUCAGAGGCACAGAUCCCGGAUUAACUUCUUUGGACAUCUUUUUCCUUUAUUGGAGAGAACAGACGCAGAAAGACGGGAAAGUUGUGAAAUAUAGAGUCGGAGAGGACAUGCAGUAGAUGAUUGUUGUCAUGGUUGAACCGGUGACCACCUUGACAUGGACUAAAGCUUCUACAUGGGGCAUAAACUCAAACUGUAAUAUAUUCUAUCUAUUUUGCUCUCUCAAAAUGAUCCAAUCUGAGGUUGCAAAAAGAAGUGUGACUGCCCAGUAGGAAAGCUUUACACAGCCUCUCUUAAAUAUUCUAUGCUUUUCAUUGGCUUCAUAUUUAGAGACUGACUGAUUCCAAUGGUUGUCAGCACCUGUCCACUUUUUUAUGCUUAUUCAGUCCAGGCAGACACACACCUGGCAGCUACUCAGGUCAUGAUCUUUCCACUAACCUCUUCACCGGCCAACCAGAGGUCAUCACUAAUGAGUGGCAGGUCGGUCGAGUGGGAGGCCAAGUCAGCCCAAGGUCUGUGUGACCUCCCGUUAACACAAACACAGCUCCGCCAAUGCAGCUUAACUUGCCAAUAGGGAGGCCAAACCUUUGAUGUUGUGCCUGAUUAGAGGGAAUUAAAAAAGAAUAAAAAUUAAAAAGAAAAAAAAAGGGGCCUUGAAAUGUGGAGCGAGGAGUGUGUGUCUGUGUGGGUGAAAGGGAGGAUGAAGGUUGUUGAUAUUGGGUAAAGAGGUUUAGUGCAGGUCGAGUCACAGCAGGAACAACACACACACGCGCACACACACACACACACACACACACACACACACACACACACACACACACACACACACACACACACACACACACACGCGCACACACACACAAAAUACAGGAGUAACUGCCAGUCAUGUGCUGGUCUUGACUCUGCUCUCAGUCAGUACAUUUAAAUAAUGAUUGAUGUAUUUCAUAAACUGUAUUUGUGUGUGUGAUGUUUUUGGAAAACACAUCUAUGCAGGCAACAAAGGCUGGACAUAUACACUUCAAUUUCAGACACACUUUUUUCUCCUUUUAAUGUGGGAAGUCAACUGACCAGUAAACUUGUCGAAAAAAAAAAAAAAAUAGAUGUAUUUUGUUGUGUUAUGGUAUCUUCCCCAGAUGAUGGUGCUAUAAUGACUCAAGCUAAUUUGCUGGUACUGACUGUUCACCCAUGUUCACAGUGUAUUAAAGCUCCUAUGGGGAGUUUUAUGAUGUUCAUAAAAAAGACUCAAAUUUAUAUUGAUGCUGUCUCAUGAUAUCCAAUAGCUAAAACUACCACCGGGAACAAGAUUUGUGAUUUUUUUAUAUCCUGGUGUUACAUACCUUCAACUGGUACAAGGUGGUAGGCAUCAGCCAAUCGGGUAAAGAAACAGCCCCAUUUUUACACAACCACACAAUUCAGUCACAAUAAAUGAUGCAUUGGACUGUCAAAAGUCAGCAGGACAAGUUUUUUUUGUCAAAGUUACAAAGGACAGUGGGGAGCCAAGAUAAACACAAAAUUUAAGUUCUUUACAGGAGCUUUAAGAGGCUGCUUCAUGCCGGAGUCCAACAAAGAGCGGAAGUGGCACUUUUUAACAACUUGUCUCUAUUAUGAGGUAUUAUCAGAUAUUCAUAUAACUGUGAUCUGAGAUCAAGAUUGCAAACUCUGCUAGGUACAAACAGAUGGCACUGAAAAGAGGGCCACUGCACAAACGUUGGACUUUCUGGACUUUAAUGAUUAAAAAAAAAAGCUGUCUCUAAGAACACUGUUAAAACCCCAUGAGAAACCCCCUUAAACAAACCGUGUCUAAUACUGGUGCAGCUUCUGUGAUGGAUUUUUCUGCAGAAAGAUUUCAAUACACCCUUUUUCUUCUUCGUACACAAUCAACCGAACCUCACCUGAUUGCUUCAUCAUUCUCUAUGCUUUCAUUUGUUUCUCACCAUGAAAUUCUGAGCGCAGCGCAACACGGGACUAAGUCACUCGGCACACACACCCAUAUGUACACAUCAACAACGCUGUCACAUUGUUCCUAAUGUUUCUUGCAGUGAUUUCAAACGUCACUCAGACUACAGUAUGUUUUACAUUCCAGAUGAGACUAAAGAUCAAAUCAGAGUAAAUUGACUUGCUGUGAUUGAGUUUACUUUGUGUCCUUCCUCCUUUGAUUUCUCUGUCUCUGGGUGUCCCUCGCUCUGUCUUCAAAUGCUCUUUUUUUCUUGCAGAAUCUCUUUCUGCUUCGCUGCCUCUGCUUCAGCAAUGGGGCUUUGCACACUCACUGUUUACUUUUCAGACACACACACACGUACGCAGUCACACACAAAUACAACGUCUACUGGCUGAAUGCCAGGUAGCUAUGCCAACAGUCAACAAUGUAAUGGAAGGGUGUGUGAGCAUGUGCGUUGACAUCUUUAUGAGCUAUGAUGGCUGGAAUUACCACUUUGACACAGUGACAUAAUCACUCGCUCACUCACAUAUUUACAUGCACACAAGCAUAUUGCACAUCGAUUUGGAGCACAGCAGUCUUUAGUGUCUGUGCAAAUGUUAGAUCACAAAAAAAGGUUACUGAAAUGUCACAGACUUUAACGACUAUACUAAAAUUGAUGCAAAAUUCAGUUUGAAAAAAAACAUAAAACAAACUCUUUUUAUUGAGGAAAAGCUCACUCAUUAAAAUGAGUGUCUAGUAAAUAAGUAAAACAGAUAUGUGUUGGGUUUAGAAACGAGUCAAAUCCAGCAGCUUUAAUUGAAUCCACUAAUCAGCUAUGCACAAGCUGAGUCAGUCCUCGUAUAUGAAACUCAUUCUCAAUGGACAAAGAAAUGAGCACGAGUUACAGAGUGACUAAUUGUGCGUUUGGUGUGUAGGCGUUUGAUUGGGACACAGCAUUGUUUUCACUGGACAGAUUUUGACUGACAAGCCCAAUUCGUGGGCAGAGUCAAGCCAAUAAUGCAAAAUAUACUGUAUGUACUAUACUGCAAGUGUUUACACCCAGUGUAUUUUACAUCCCUCACUUUGGUUACAAAAACACCUGUGUGGAAACACCUGUUGUCAUCUUGUUAUGUGAUGCUACAGUGGAUGACUGACAAAUAGGAGCCUCUUUCACAAACACUGUUUUCUCAAAGGUUACAUGAUGACAGUCAUAAUUAAAAACAUCAGUUUGAGCAAAGAUGACCAUCUCUGCAAAGCAGCAGGAGGCAGGGGGAUAAUAUUAAUCACAGAUAACCAGUCCCACCCUUUGAUUGCUUGAUUACUUUAUGCAGAGUGGGGCAGUUAAGGUUAUAUUCAAAACUUGAAGGGUACAUUGUUUUUUUUUUUUAAAAUAGACUCCAUCACACCAUAAAGCUGAUAUUCUGAGCAGAAGUGAUAUUGCCCUGAUGUUUUUUAUUUUAUUUUUUUACUUGACUUAACAUGGAAAUAACUGUCCAAGUGAUGCAGACAAACACUUCCACCUGCAUUUAAAUGCAAUGCAAAAGAUGCAAACAUAAAUACAGUAACUGUCUAUUCUCAUACCAUGAAAAGUGCAGAGUUCUUGCAUUCAAUACAAAAGCCCACUGUUGCCCCUUUAGCUAUAUUAUGUUCCACUGGAGUUCAGUCAUAUCACAACAAUACUUGUAUACAUCCCACCCAAGGCAACGGCUGAAGUUCCAUGUGAUGUUCUACAUUGUAUUGUUGCUAUGAUACAGACUCAACAACCUGAGACACUAUCAGGAGACUUCAACCAUGUUACCCUCUCCUCCCUGCCAAAUCUUUUGGAGAGGCAGUACGAAAUGCAAAGAUGCAAGACAUCUAAACAAACUGGUGAAAAAAGCUGGCUCUGUGGUUGGCAUCAAGCUAGACUCACUGGCAGAUGUGUUAGAGGGAUGCACACUGAGAAAGGCAGAGGCUAUUCUAAAGAACAUGGAUGAUCCACAUCACAACACCUUGAUGGACCAAAGGGCCAAUAGCGGUGGAUGGCUCUGCACUGAAAGAUGGAGAGAUUGGAAAGAUCUUUUGUACCCACAGCCAUCAGACGCCUUUACUCUUCUAUAAACAGUAGAUGUGAUGAGAUUUCAGACAAACAAGUUGCCUUGGGCGUUGAAUAAAGUUCUUGGGUUCUAAAUUCAUGCCAGCCGGGAGUGCAGCGCAGGGUGGCGCACCCCAGGCAGUGAUAAAUUCGUGCAGCGCAGUCCCGUGUGCAGCCAAUUUGGUAAAUUGGUGAACCUCGGCACAACGAGAUGUGCCACUAUGGGCGUGUUGGCACAUUAGGGGGAGGUGUCAACUGAAUCAGCUGGCAUAUUGACAAAUUUGUGCCUGCCAGAGACCCAGGGAGUGCACUGAAAACUCACCAAUUCCAACCUGGUCAGCUUGCGGCACAGGCAGAGUGCAGCUGGUCAAGAGGAAAAUUCAUAGACCAGUGGAGCAGUACAUACACGUCAACAAUAGGCCUACCUCAUAGGCAGGUUUUCAUAGUACAGACACAUUUCAGUGCAAUAAAUAAUCAACAACAGCCACCAUUCAGUGUGGCUAUCUGAGUCAGCACAUACAUUUAGAUCUAUAUCUUAUCUGAUGACAGAGCAUGCACCUUUGGCACACGUAAUGGACACUCAACCUGACCAAAUUAACAAAGCUGAAAUUGUGACGAUUUAUCCAUAUUAAAUAAAUAGUCACACAUGAUGGUGUUAACAAGAUAUUUAAUUCUUGUCCAGUGCCAUGGGCACGUGAUGGAGGCUUGUCUCCAGUCUGUGGACUGCUGGAAAUCUCCUUCAAUCAUAAUUUUUACUCACUACCUCCCUACUUCACACAAACUGUGAAUAUCAACUGAUGGAUAUGUUGAAUAUCAUAUUUUCUGCAGUGCACAGUAAUCAUCUCAUCUGAUACUACAGACUGUAUUGAUUAAAAAAGAAACACCAUAUUGAAGAUUGUUAGGUGUGAAUGUCAGGCUUUAAUGCUAAGCUAAGCUAAUUCUUUGCUGGUUCAAGCUCAGUACACAGAAAAUCAUCAUUAUAAAGCCAUUUAUUUGACUAUUACUCCUCUGUUGCAGUACAUUUAUGUGCUGCAGAGAGUGCUAAUUGGCCCAUGAAAUUCUUGAUCAACUAAAAAAAAACAAGGCUUGCAGACUUGUCAUGUAACUCUUUGUUCUUACUUAAAGUAUGACAUCUUUUUAACGAUCUUUAACUAUCUUUCUAAACCCCUUUUUUCUCUCUCUUUUUGGAGUUGACUUUGUCUUUUAUUUUCUUUCAUCCCCUCAGUAUUAGACACUGCGACAACCUCCAAAGCUGAUUGACUCAGUUCAGCCCAAACUAAUCACCCUGCCUGUCUGCAUCCACCCACAGUGGGUCUCUGUACAUACACCCACUUGUAUUCUCAGCAUACACAGACAUGUAGACAGAAUCUAGAUAAGAUAUCUUUCCAAUGUCCCUAUUAAGAUCCUUUUUUUUUGUUUUUCAGAUUGCCAUGGAUUUAGUAUUGCACCAUCAGAAAAGUAUGUCUGCUGUAACUGUCUGGGCUGCCUGGGGCCUGUGAACAAAGACAGCAACUGUAAAUGAGCAGAAAUUCAGAGUAAAGGUGCACGACACAGAAAUCUGUGGGUCAAGCUUGUGCAAGUCAAGUCAGCCAGACUGUGCGUUCAACCAGUUACACUGCAUUGCUGCACAGUGGAAAAAAUAGUUGCACAACUCUGGCAGUUAACUCCAAAUUUAUGUGGCACACCCAUGACAGUCCCUGGCUGUUAUGCAAGUGAUAUUUAUGUGUAUGCCUUCAUUACCAAAGGAGUGCAAUCAUUUUACACCCCCCCCCCCAGUAUACACACAAACACAAACAAACACACACACACACACACUCACAUGCGCAAAUUUGAUUUCAACAUUUACUUAAGUGUAGGCAAUCAACUAACCCAAAUAUUUCCCUAAAAACUUACAUGAGGGUUCAGCCCCUGAACAGGUUUCCAGUGUUUACUGUCAGAAAAGCAAAACCACUUACGCCAGUGUAAACAAAGAUGUGUUGCUAAAUUGUUGUUUUAAAUUACACCAGUUCAGCUGUUUGUUAAUCCCAUGUAAUCUGAAAAUAACAAAGAAGUUAUCCGUUCAAUUUAAGCCUGAAGCUCAUCUCCUGUUAAUCAAAUCAAGCAAACAGGAAAGAAGGUGAAACUUGCAGUGUUUGUCCCAGGUGAGCUGGUUUGGGUAUUUAAGGAAAAACAAAACUUUAGACAAAUUGCAGAAAAGGGCUUUUUGGUUGAAGAUUCAGGAAAUAACCAGAUUUAAUUCAUCUGAUAUAAAAGCAGCAAAUCAAAUAAUUACAGGUUAAAACAAAGGUGUGUAGCAGGAUUAUUAUUCUUAAAUACAAUUUACGGGCAAAACCCACAGGAUCCAGAAUGGCUUCGCUCCGGCACGGCAAGCAGAUUAAAUACGCAAGCAUAUAGCGCCCACCGCCGCUGUCGGAGGACAAGAUCUUACGAUAUACUGAUAGCUCCCGUGAGAUCUCACAAGAUCUUGCGUGUUUCCCCGUGAGACAUUGAAUGAGAUUUGCCGAUCAGUGUAUAUAAAACGGCGGUGUAUAUAAACACCCACAUCCCACAACCCUGGCCUUUCCAAUUAUCAAGCUAAGAACAGUUCAGUGUAUUGACUUUUCUUUAUUUUGUAAAAUUAACCAGAUAUUUUACUCUGUAGCUGCAUAUAACUUCUGCUGCUGCUCAUUCUGCGCUGGACUGAAUUUAUGCGCCAUGCUGUGGCAUCCGGCCAACAUAGAAGCCUUGCGUAUCUAUCACGGUGGCCGGAUCAGAUACGCAGCGGAGCCGAACGGUGGACAGAUUCUGUGGAAUGACACACAUUGAUUAUAAUGCUUGCGUAUUUGAUCCACCUGCCGUGCCGGAUUGGAGCUGUUUUGGAUCCUGUGGGUUUUGCCCCUAACAGAAUGAUAAAAACUAGAGUUAAAAAAAACAUUUUCGUUCAAUUUUAGAUUGAUAUGAAAUUGAUUUAUUUCACUUUAAAGAUUUUAUGUGAGCUAGCAGCACUGUACAGCACCUCCAAGUUCAUUACUCAGUGUUUACAGUCAACUUCUUAUCAUCAUUCUAUCUGGCAAAACGGCAGCAAAACUCAGAAGAAAAUCACAGAGUCCUGUAUGAAAUUUCUUUAAAUACUACAGCGAGACAGACAAAAGCGAGUGCUUUGAAAACUGGUGAUAAAUUAUGUGAAAUACUUCUUAGGGCAAAAAAACUCAAAAAUCUGAAAGUCCAUUUUAAAGGGUUCACAUAAGAACGCUAAUUGCAAGUACCUUGAAAAAAAGGCCUCUCUGAGUAGCUCCCCUGAAAAAGUAGCAACAUCUUGGCCAGGAGACAAGUGUUUUCACCACUGACCAAAGAGCUGUUGGUCAGUAAACGCAGGAACACCACAAGCGGGAAGAUGCACUCAUAAAUUUGUCUACGAGUAAGUUGAUUGCCUUCGCAAAGUUUAGCUUUUCACUCGAGCCAAAGUUCAAAUUACCUGGUGCUGCAUGAAGUGAAUAACCUUAUUGCCGAGUAUGAAAAACUAAAACAAUACUAAAUUUAAUAAAAGCUAAACUAAAACAAAUCAGGAAAAAAUACAAACUAAUAAAAAUGUACAAACCCGCUCUAAAAACUAAUUAAAACUAACUGAAUGAAAGAAAAAGUCCAAAUGAAAUAAAACUAAACUAUAAUGAAAAAUUCCAAACAAUUAUAACCUUGGUGUGUAGAGUAUAUAUUGAUCUAUAAAACAGCUUUGAACCAUGAUGGAUAAUAGGAGAGAUGGGGACAAUGCAUGUCACUUUAAAUACAAUAGCUUUGAGUCAGACUAAAGUUAAAACACAAAGACUUGACAGUAGAAAAUGUGUUUAUGUCCUUCAGUUAUUGCCACAACGGUUAUAUUGUAUGAACAGAAAUUAAAAUACAACACAGAAUAUUAGCCAUUUUGUUUCAAUGGUUUAUGCUAGUGAUGGUUUCAAGAAGGAGUGUUUUAUUUCUAUUUACUUUUACUUUUUCUUAAAGUUAUGUAAACACCAGCUUAGCCAACUAAAACAUGUCUAUCCCCACAAUGUGACACUGUUAUUGCAGGUUAGUGCACCUUGUUGUCCUACGUUACAGCACAUUUACUGUAGUCUGAAGGGUUCUAAAUCCAGCUGAUCACCUUUCAGAUGUAUCACGAAUAUGGUGCUACAGAAAAAUCAGGUCAUUAUAAGCCAGGAUCUCUGAGUAUUUUUGCAUCACCAUGAGUAAACUAUGCAGCAAAGAAAUACGGCAGAUCUGGUUUUAACAGAGAGCCAAACCUGAUGUAUAGGUAUAUCUUAGAAAGCCUGUCAUUAUAGUGAGUACAAUCUAAUUAUUCACAACAACAAACACAACACAAUAAGUAUCAACUUCUAAAUCUUAUGUGUUGUCUUGAGGAAUAAUUUACAUCUUUUGCUUUAUAAACGCUGUGUAACAUUUAAUUUAUUGAUGUGACCUUGCAGUAUGUGCAUGCAUAUCCAUAUUUUAUGGGGUUGUCAUAUGUUUAAUGACUGUCUGUUUUUCUCGUCUGUUUGUUAUUUUUCUCUCUGUUUUUCUCACUGAUCGUAAAUUUGAAACACCUGGGGCUUAGUUCAACAUAAUAAUGGUAUUAUUUUCCAGAUCUGGCUCAGAUUUAUUCUAGUUUUAGGAGAGAUAUUUCAGCUGCUUUUGUUGUGGUGGUGAUAAAAUUUCAAAUCAAAUCAUGACUCAAAGGAAGGCUGUUGCAAGAUACAGGUAUUAGCUGUUACUGAUGAAAAAUUAUAGUUCCAAAAUACCAUUAGGUAAAUAUAGUGUAAGUAACUGGUUUAAUAAUGUUUUUUUAAAUAGGUUUCCAAUCCACUGCAAGUCAUGUAAACUGUCAAAGUUUAGAGGAUGAGGAAACCUUCACACAAAACAGUAAAUAUAUCAAAAUAAAACCCCCAUAAAUGACUGUUUUAUGAGCUGAUCUCUCCAUGGAAGUGUCCGUUUCAGGGUUGAUGAUGUGGAUAAAACAUAACUUUGAAAAUCUCAACAAAUGGAUGAUGGCAUGUAUUACAAGUUUAAUGCCUUUAUCGGCAGAAUUAAGUGUGUUGCUCCACUCCUGCCUGACUUUUACUCUUCAAAGUUUCCUGUAAAUAUUGUCAUGAUAUUGUCAUUGUGAUAUAUGAUGGCCAACAUCAUCCUGGUCCUCAUUUAUCAAUGUUGCGCAGAUCUGAGCGCAGGAUUCACAGUACGAUAGGACACACGUGAGAUUUAUGAAAGGGUUCGUAUCUGACCAAUCCCAGCGUACUUAUGAUCGGGUCUUGAUAAAUGCGGCGGCUGAAAUCGAUUGUCAUUAACAUGUUUACGCCCUUAAAUAUUCGUGGUUCAGAAGCCUCACCCACUGAGGUCAAACAUGAAAGAGGAGAAAUAUUACAAAGAUGCUAAACUUUUCCGAGCUGAAAGUGGAUAUCCUCCCAUCUGUGGUGGAAACUAACAAGAAUUUUCUCUUUGGAAGCAUCAAAACUGGUAUAAAAGCAGUCCAGAAAACUCCUGUCUGGAGCAGGAUUAUGGUGGCGGUGAACAGCACUGCCGCGGAAUAGCGGACAGUGGCUAAAGUUUGAAUAAAUCAUUAGUCAAUAAAUUGCUCAUGAUGAUACAUCAAUAUCUCAUACAUGCCUCAUAUUUGUUUAUUGCCCUGACAUAGGGUAUGUUGCUCCUUUUAUUGAAAGUAUUUAGUUUUAAUUUGUUGCGUCUUUGUAAUGUAGAGCAGACUGGAGAGUCUGACAGAGGCUGAACAAAAUAAUUAUUAAUGUCACCAAACGGUGUGUUGCUGCCCCUGAGGCACAUUUUUAUGGAUUUCUAUUGGAUUUUUAUCACUAAUUUAAUAGCAAGAGCACUUUCUAAACUUAUACUUUACAUGUCAGAAUCCAUGGAUAAGGUCCUGUCUCCUCUGUGCAGCACCUUUGUGGAGUCUAUCCUCGUUAUUUUUCUCCGGGCAUCGGGUCCUCAUGUUGCACCGGCACAGCCAACGGCACUCCAUUCGCCAGUGCAACAUUGUUCAAAACUGUACUGGCCAAAAUGAUGUCCCACACCCUUUCAGAAGUGUACAACAACGUCCCCACUGCUGGGCCAAGACAGAGACACCUGCCUUUUAGGAGUAAAACGCAGCGCUCAACAGUGGCGCGUGUGCAUGUGUGCGUUAUGUUGAAACGGCGCUCCUGCUCUGUGGCAGUGUUUUUGGGCAGAGUUAUCAAAUAGGCCUAUUCACUAAGGACAUAACAAAUCUAUUUUAUUUUAUUUUUUAUUUUAUUUACAUCUUAAUCUUUAAUGAAACAUGGCUGAUUGUGCUUAAUGACAGGUUUGAGGUUUGUUUAUCAAUUAUUUUUAAAACAGACAUUUGCUGAACCACAGAUCCACACUGACUCAAACUUGCAUACACGAUGUCAGACCUGUUGUGAGAUUUGGUCGUAGCGUAGGCUCACGUGCAGAUUGAUAAACGCAGAUCCUCACGUCAAAAUUGUCGUACACAAAGGUGUACGCAAGUUUUCUGCCGUAUGCAAGCUUGAUAAAUGAGGGCCCCUGAGUUUAGAAGUCAACCCCAAUUCAUAGUGACACACACAGGCAAUUCUGUCACUAUGACAAGUAAAACUUCACCCUUAACCUAUUUGGAUCUCAGUAUGUAAAAUGAUGAGCUCCAUGACCAAGUGAUUUGAUCUGUGAGUAAACAGAGUUUUCCACAAACUGAUCUCAUAUCCUGGGGUCCUGUUUGACCCAGAUGUUUAAGAGUGGGCUGCAUAUACAGAGGCUAUUGUCCUCAAUGCAGCAGUCAUUGGUUUGCUGCAUCUUCUUCCCAUAAUCUUUGUCACUCAUAAGCUGUCUUUUUAUCUGUAUGCACAAUAAGAAUCAUAAAGUAAAGCUUUGUUACUCAUCACAUCUGCUCUCAUCACCGAGGCUGCACCAAUGGAAAGGAGAGAUCAUGUUACUGUACCUGCAAGACAGAAAAAAAGCAUUGUUAGAUGAGCAUUCAGUGUUUUCUCUUAUUGUGCUCAGUUUGAUUGGACACAGGAGUCAUUAUAAGGCGAUGCUAACAUGCAGAAAACAGGCAGAGUAAUAUUCUCUAGGUUUUAAUACAAGCAAGGAAAGAGUUAAGGGGGAAUUCGGGGUUACAACGGUCCCCUCCCCCCUUUCUCCUUACUUGUUUUCUAUUUUAAUAGCUUCCUUCCUUCCUUCUUACAUUUUUCGUUCACCAGACAGACUGCCUGCCUAUUUGGUUUGGCAGCACAAGCUAAAUGCAAUCUAUCUGUAACAGAGGUCCUGGUGAUGUUUAACCCAUUCAGGGCAGUGAGAUGGAGGAAUCAAUCACAACAGAAAAAAAAUAAAAUAAAUAAAAAGCCUCUCCUGCCAGCUGCCGCCUUAACACUCCUUCCUGCGGUUGGCUGACAUGAAAAUGAAACCCAUGGGAGUAGAAAGAGGUCAAACCCAUUUAGGCGACCAUGUGGAAAUGUCACACAAAAACAAUGUGUAUAAAUGGCUGAACCCUUAAAGUGUUUGUGCGCUUGGUCUUUGGAAAUGUAGCCACCAUUACUGGAGCAGACAGCAAAUCAGAGCAUUGGAAUAUCAUUUCUAAACAUAAAGGCAAGAAUGAAAAAAGGAAGACAUCGUCAGGUAGCAAGGAUGAAUCUAUCCCUGCUCAGAAGCACAGACAGUUCUCUGGUAUGCCUGUGAGGAAAUGACUGCCUACAACAAAAUGACCAUCACUGAAAGUAAGAGUGAAUAAUAGGUGGAGAAAAAAAAAAUCGUUCUUCUGUCAUAUCUAAGAGCAUUUAAUGCUGCUUUGGUUCACAAAGAUUUAUGCUCUGUUCUAGUAUACAGAGUAAUUGAAAAAAAAAAAAAAGCAGAGUGUUAAGCACACAGGCUAACAGAGCCGGAGCUUGUCAAUAGGCAAGGCAGGCAGUUGCUUGGGGCCCCAGGCCACUAGGGGGCCCCCAAGGGCUGAUGAAACUUACUCUCCGCUGAAAUAUUGCAAUCCUAUGAAACAACUAGUGGUCAAAUUGCAAUGAUAUCCUAGAGGGAUCCCCCCCUAAAAGGGGCUCCAUGUCAUCCCUGUCACACUUUUACGUGACCUACGUCCGUCUUUACUGUACUGUGUCAAUCAAAGUAACGUCAAAACCAGCCGUGAAGUCGCGCUACUUAUCAGGGAGUGAGAAAAGAAAAGAAAAGAAAAAAAGGAGAGAGCAAGACAGUGGUAAAUGGAGCAGAUAGUGAAGUGUGGCAAACACUUGACCUAGCAUUAGGUGUAAGGCUGGCUGUUAAUUGUUUGGUAGUUAGUUAGCCGUGUUAGCAGAGUGGGAGACGUUAACCUAGGGUUCCCGCUUUGUUCACUCACUGUUACUGUGUGUUGACAAACCCGCACUCUCUUGCAAGGUUAGCUGACAGAGAGACAAGUGCUUGUCUAAGGUACAAUACUGAAAUUUCACCAAACUAGAACAUCGGUACGGGAGUGAUUUAGACGGAAAAAACAGCUAACCCAGACAACAGCUUUCACUGUUAAUGAAACACUAUUAAUGAAAGUUGUGUCUUAACUAGUCUAACUCUUAGACUAUUUAUGCUUUGAAAUUAAGAUCUAAAUUUAGACAGUAUGCUUUCUGCAUGAAAGACUAUCAACUUUGGAGCAUAUAACAUACUGAAGUAAGUCUCAAAAAUCAAAUCUUAUAACAGGGCUGGGGUGCUGGUUAUUGGGGUAAAAACAUACCAGAGCUGUAGCUAUUUUAAACCAACAUUUUCAAGUUACGUUGUAAUCAUGAUAAUUGUUUUUAAAAUUUUCCAUUUCUGACCUCUUUUUUUGUUUUCAGAUCAUUUAUAUGUUUAACGCUCGUCAGAGGGGCCUCUUGAGAAUUUUUGCUUGGAGCCCCAGCACACUGUAGAAUCGGCACUGAAUAUCUGUUAGGUGUUCCUAGGGACAAUGUUUUUUGGCAUGGGACAGAUAGAUGACACUUAUAAAAAAAAAGUUUCCUGUCAUAGACUUUUGAUUAAUGUUUGCCGGUUUCAUUGAGUUUGAUUUCCUCUAAAUUGUAUGUCUGUCUCAUUGUGUGUAAUCCAAAGGCUGUUUUUUUUUUUUUUUUUUUCAAGGUUGGGAAGAAAAAUGUGUAGCUUCUAUUAUGAACACAUUUGCAUCUUUUGCAUAAGUGAUGCUCAUGUGCAUAAUUAAUGUCAGCCUUCACAUGUGCAUGCAUUUGUAAAUAUUAACAGUAUAUUUCUUUAUUCAUGCAGUAUCAGGGGGCAGAUCUGAAUGAUUUCAACAUUUGCUUCAGUGGACUUUAGAGCCGGAGGCGAUUGGUACUGGAAAGAUGAGGCAGAGAAUGUGAGGAAAAGGCAAACCACCACUGCAAAAAGUGACAUCUCCUUGCCCUCCGUGGUAUCAAUAAGUAAAACCUGUCUUGUGGAGAACUUCUCUGAGUCAAGUUAUAUUUCCAGAACUGACAAUUAUAAAAGAUUCAGGCGUAUGGCUGCUAAAACUCAAAAGUGCAAAUACAGCAGAAUGUCCCAAAACAACACGGCCAUGACCUUAAGACCCACUCUCGAUAAUAUGCAUGUUUAAGCGAUUUUAGGAUUCUGUUUAUGAGUCGCUCCUUUUUACGUCUGUUUUUUUUUUUUUUUUUUUUCUUUCAAACACAAAUACAGAUGAUGCAGUGCAGUGUUGAUACCCCUUGUGGUGCUAAUUAAUUGUGACUCAAGGUCAAGAAACAGAUUCCUUCAUUUCAACAUGGAGCAACCCACUGUCCAGUACUAGUUGUUCUUGGUUUUAAUGAGUCUCUCUAAAGUCCCUCCACCUCUACAGUUUCCUUAUCUGUUGGACUUUUUCCCUCCAAACUCCUGCUUCUCCUCAGAUAAUCUCUCUCUGCCAAUUAGUGUCCUUCCAAAAUGACCCAUAUGAGCGUUUUCUGAUCUAAGGCCCUUAUCAGCAGGACAACAUCAUCCACCAUUGUGCGGUCAGUGAUUGCUUUUUGGCUUAUGAUUAAAGGGAGUUAAAUAUUACUCGUAUCUCCCUGCAGAAGUAUCACACCAUGCCCCCAAAUUCAAGGUUGCCCCGUGUAUUGUGUCUUUCUGCUUUUUGACUGGAUGAAUUCAAAGGGUAGCAGAGACAUUCCCAGCAAGAGCAAACACGUAGUUAUCGAAGGCAAUAGGAGUUUGGACCCAAAUGCAGACCAACAGAAUGAUGAAUCAAUGGGGAAUGAUAGAUAAUAAAAAGAUAUGGGAUAUUUAAUUAACUAUAUUGAAAUAUAAUCGACACUACCUAUCCUUUCAUUGGGUUUUCAAAUAGGAAUAGAACCCCACAUUACUGCUCAUUCACCAAGCAAAAAUGUCAAGCUGAUUUUAAAGGCCCAGCACUGCCUAUAAAAGCUACAAUGAACUCCUCUCACAUCCAGUUAGAUCUCCCCAGGUGCCACUUAAAGAACGAAGGUUACACAUAUUAACCCUACUUAUAAGAGCUGAAGCAGAGCCCCCUAAUGGGCUCAGUAGGCCCGUCAACUCUACUCCUGCAGAGCAGGGCACUCAAAUGUCCAUAUACAGCACUGUUUGGCUCCCGAAGAUAGACUCUAGUGCAGCGAAGGAUGUGAAAGUAAAGGAUGGUCGACAUGCUUCAGUUCUACAUCUUUGGCAUUGAUAAACAACAGACAAGCAGGAACAAUGAUUCUGUUGUGAAAAAAACAACAACACUGUGUUUAAUCGAGAACACUGGUGCAACAUGAAUAUUGAAAAAAAAUUCAGUAGUUAUCAAAAGGCUCCUGUGCAGGGGAUUGAAACCCAAAUGGAUGGAGCAUAAGGCCCUGAUAGUUCAGGUCACAUCUGCAGGUCUACAGUCUCUCAUGCGUGUGACGGUGACCAUAUUCUAAGGUUGAAGGGUUUUCUAUAGUCUCCAUAUCUAGGACAACACUGACACUGAGUGACAGAUGGGUCACCUGUCAUCCUUGACAGAGCAGAUAUGUCUACAGACACUCUUUUAGGUCUAUCAUAUGUCAUGUCAUUUCAAGGAUGUGAAAAUGUAGUAGGCCUGUGUGCUUAUGAUUGGCUGUGUGCAAAGACAUCAAACCUAUCGCAUCUCAUAUUGAUUUAGGGAAGAGAAGUACUUUUUUGUGUGUGUGAGGAAGCAGCACAAGGACAGAGGAGGCAUAUUUGCCAGAUGAGAAGUCCAGACUGGAGGUAUUGAUGCUGAUCUGCACAGUUGUCCCAUACGUCAAACCCAAAAGUACACGCUGAACUAUAUAGUGCCACCACAGUCUGUCUCCAAAACACCCUCAUAUAGUUGAUCAUAUGUAUGUCACUACAUUGCUAAAUAAAAGAGACAAUCUGUGGUAAUGCCACUUUGGUCAAAAACUUUCCACUCCUUCAGAAGUCUCCUGUCUCCUUGAUCUCCAUUACCUCUAGGUUCAUUUAAUGAAUCCUUCAUCAUGAUGAAGGGGAAAUGAUUACAGGGUCAAGCAAGGUCAAAGGACCCAAGAAUUCACAAAUUAAUGAAAUGAGGAGAAGCCAUUGGCUUUGUGUUCAAGGCAAAAACAUUACAAAUUCCUCUCAUAGCAGUUAGUUAUGUCAAAGUAUAAGUAUUUGUUACUUUUCAUUUUCUGGAGGAGAUUAGUUUGUGGUGAUGCUUUUUCAGGCCAAGAGAGGACAGACAUUGAGCUGUCCACUUCUAGUCAAAUAUUGUUGUAUGCAUCAUUAAACCCGGUUUAAACAGGCCCUAAAGUCUGUAAGGCAGUCACACUGUAAUUCUCAAACUGUGGCUCCAGAAUGAUUUAAGCCAGGGGCCUCAAAGGAGAAGCAAAAGCAGCUCCGUCACCACCUCUGUGACUCAGAGGACUCCGGUUGUUUGUUAUAAAAGUCUUUUUUUAUGAAACUUGACAGUAAAAGGAGCAGCCACAGGAGCCUCAUGUUUGUGGGAAGUAUGCUUGUUGCAAAGAUGAGAUAUGAGAUUGAUGACUAAAAAUAAUGAAGUUUAAAAUCUUUGCUUAUAAGGUAAAAAAAAAAUAAAAAGUUGCACCCAGAUCUAAAUCAAAUUUAAACACCAUAAACAGCCAGAAAAUGGAAGUGCAGCUGCUUUAAUUCUGUUGAUGGUGGGCAAGCAGGCUUGAGGGGAUACAAUAAGAGUAGAAACUGAGGCCACUAUGAUAAAGUGGAGCAAUAAUUCCCCCCCUACUGCCAUGGCCACAGAGGGCCAGCCUUGGCCCCCAUUCCUUCUCUCCUCCUCUUUCCCUUUACACAAGGAAGACAGCCAAUAUGUGCCAGAGCGACAUAUCCUUCCCCCAGAUAAUGGAAUUGCCUGGCUGUAAUAAUAAUUUGAAUUUCACGCCCCGGUGCCUCGGCGCGGAGGGAUCGCCGGAACAGUGGCAUAAAUUAGCCUCCAUGCACUGAGCUGAUCGAUGACUGCCCCGUCCGCCACCUAUUGAUCUGAGACAUCUCCUGCAGACGCAAGUGCACUCUGCAUCUGUGCACACGCAGGCAUGACACCAUUUUCUGCUCGGGAAUGUUGCAAGAAACAGUAAAAGGUGUGGGAUGCUGACUGUGUAAGGGUAAAGUAAAAGACGCAUGAUAAAAUUCAAGGAGUCUGGAACCUGUUUAGGGCAAAUGUGGCAUGUAAGUGUUUUGUAAGAGCAAUGGGUGGAUUUAAUUAUAGAGUGACAGACAUGAGACAAAAGACAUAAACAUGUCUGUAAACACACACACUGCAUGGGGCCAGAAUGUUGCUGAGCCUGCUUGGACUCAGCGACUGUCUGGGAGCAGACACCUCACUAUCUGCAGUAUUCUGACAGACAAAAACAUAAACUUUGCUGUUUUUUACAGAGUCUCGGCAGCAUGUUUUCAUCCCUCCUAUCUUUUCUAGCAUUAGGUGGAAGAAGACUAAUGCUGUUUGUUGAUAACACAGGCUGUGGGGCCUUAAAGUUGUAAAAAAAGUGCGACCAACAUCAUCAUCGGAAUCAGCUUUGGGUAAAGGAUCAUCUCUUUACAGUGCAUCAUUCUGCUCUGUGCUGUACAGAUGCAUUUUUGCAUUGCUUAUAGAAAAUAAAACAGCAUCUCAUCAGUAAAUCAAUUCAUCAAUCAACAUGAAAGAGAAAGGGCAUAAAUAAUGUGAAUACGCACAUAUCUGAUACAUUAUUGAGGAAGUGCAGAAACAUAGCAAAGAAUAAGAGGGCCGGCUGUUAAAAAAUGCAUCCCUGUCUUUUGAUGCUGCCUGCUGCAGGAAAAAAACAUUCUGCCAUAAAUUCAAGUCAGAGAGCAUGAGAUGGCUGGAAGCUCCUUGUGACACAAUUACGCAGACAAACACACAUGUAUUCAGUGGAUUAACACACACAAUCAUGGAUUUAAUAAGGAUUCAGAGACAAGUGUGGACUGGAAAAUAAGAAAAUCACACUCAAAGACGGACACACCAAUUGACACACCAAGUUUCUCAAUUGAACCACUUUGCAGGAAUAAGCACAUCUGGAGGCAUGUUACAGCUUCAACUUCAUAGUAGGUCCUCUUGCAAAAAAAGGGGAUCAAAAUGGGACCCAAUGGGUGCUCCUGCACAGAAAUUCAGGCUACCAUCAAAAAUGCUUAACUCAUUAAAAGCAUAAGCAGCCAAAUUCUCCUGAUGAAGCACUGGACAGUGAGGCAUGAAGGUAAUUUGACCUUUCUUCAGGUCUGUGACUGAGAGUGCAGCAGGGGGACCAGGACCAAAAAUGAGGAAAAUCAAUUAUCAAUCCAGGUCUGUCUUUCCCCAAUGAGAGGCUGACGAUGGGUUUGGGGGAAUCAAUGAGCAUCAUAAAAACACUGUGCACGAAGAGACAAGCCUUAAGCCGAAAACAUACAGGAUCCGUAUUGAGCGCGUUCUGUAUUUGCUCCGUAGAGCAGCAUUUGGUAUCGCAUACAGGAUGAGUAUUUGGAGCGUGGCAGCAGCGUGGUGCAGCCCCGGUCAGCUGGGCUCAGGAUAGAGGAAACAACAUGCUCACAACAGGUUGUUUUUCCUUUCUGUGGUCUAUUUCCUGCUAAUUUGGAUAUAAUUCAGUGACUGUUGAGCCUCUACUAUAUGUGAAAUUGCAGGUUUACUUGUGUUUAAUAAAGUAAACUAUGUUCCUUUAUGCUGUGCUGUUACAUUUAGACAGAGUUAGCAGUUCAAAGUCCUGUUGGGUCCACAUGGAUCAGGGAUUGACCAUCGGAUUGUUUUGUAUUACUGAUGAAUCCAUAACCAGGAAGUAUUUCUCAUCGACAUGAACUGAUAGACAGUCGGGAGUCCGCAUAUGGUGUUUUAUUUUGAAAAUGACAUUCACGGUUUUCGUGCUUGACUUCCUGUCUUGAACAACCUUCUCUGUGUGGAUUGACGCGCAUUGAAAGCGUAGAGCAGCAAAAAUUGACUCGCCGCCUAUCUUUAGCAGUGCUGCUCUCACUAUGAUGCUGCGACAGAGCUGAUACACGUCCUGUAUGCUUCACUACAUUGAUCAGAAUUGCCACCUACUUGCUGCAUGAUACACGACACUGCUGCCGCGCUCCAAAUACGAAUCCUGUAUGUUUUAGCCUUAACACUCCUGUAUGUCUACACUUAACACCUGUGGGGGGGGGGCUCAUAAUCAGGCAUGUCCUGAGGCAAGGCUGCACAGACUGACACUACAGGCAUUACAGAAGGACAAUUUGAAAGCAGCCUUCCCAUUUCUUGGGAACCUGCUCAUUUAGCAUCCCUUGUUUCAUCACUGUAGUUAUGUACUUUGAGCUGUGACAAAUGGUUAUACAGACACUCUGUGGAGUAAAUGCAAAAUUAAGCAUUUGCAGCUGCAAUGACCAAACUUCACCAAAGGUAUCAUUAAAAAUUUAAAGCUGCUAUUUAAAGCCAAUUUAACUGAGCAGGGAAGUGAGGUACUUUGCAAGAUUAGCAAGUUACACAGGUUUUUUAAGCAGAUCUGUAGUGACGCUGUUAUGGUAGUGUCAAAGAUAACUGUACUGAACACUGUCUUUGCCAUUGAAUAUGGUCAACAACUCUGACGGAUAAAGAUCUAGACACAACCAGUUUACACCUUUCUCACAGUUACACAAACUUUAUCUCCAGAUAAAAUCAGUGCACUCCCCUGUGAGAGAGACAAAGGCAGACAAUGGGGAAGUUUAUAGUUGGCUCUCCAACUCUCUGCCCACCUUGGUUGGUAGGAAUGCUGGCACCCGAAGAGUCCAAAAGGCAGAUAUGAUUUUUGCUCCGUUGGCAUCAACUGUAUGUAGUGUUUUUUAUUGUGUUUUGUUUUGUGUGUGUGAAAGACAUGGGAAAUUCUGACAAAGAGGAACCCUGAUUCAGUUGGAGAUACUCUUUAUCUGUUUUUGUUGAGAAAGCGCUUUGUACAUUUCUUAUAACAUGCUAAAUAACAUUAAGUCCUUUUUGAGAGUCUUUUAUUCUUAAAUUCUUUUUCUUGUUUCCGUUUGUAAAGCUCUGUUGUUUUAAAUCCUACUAUACUUAAGCCUCAUUGAAUUACCUUUCCAUGUAUUUUACAUGCAUAUUUUACAACAUCUCAUUGAACAUUUGCUUAUGAGUGAAGCUUCAAAGAGAAAAUGGAAGAUCAUUUUCUGAAGUUGUAAAGAAAAGGAGCAAUCGGGUAGCCAGUUCUCUCCAAAGCCAUUUGAUAAGCUUUUGAUCUCCCCAACUGUGAAUGUUACUUUCACAGUUACAAAGCACAACACAAAGACUUCACCAAAAGGCAUCCAGUCUGAGUGAUGCAGCCUUCUGCAACACCGGUCAGCCAUGAUGGAUGUUACGUCCUCUGCGCUCACACUGAAAGAGGCUGUUUAUAAUUUUUUUUCUUUCUCCUCACAUUUGCACUCCAUAGUCUCAUUAUCUAUCAGAUAAGAGCCGAGUUGUUUCGCGGAUGAAAGCCAGUGGGUCGAACCAUGAAAAAGACGUUAUGUAGCCAUAAUGCCAACCAUAUUAUUAUUUUUCUCCCAUCUCUGUAGGACAGCAAAAACAGCUGAAGGGCAUGAAUUGUGUUAAGAAUUCCCUUUUAACCUCUCUGCCAUACUGGCCUGCAUUCCCUCUGUGGAUCAGGAAGAAGCAGAAUCACAGAAUCUGACUCACAAUCACAUGUGGCGUAGCCAGAAACAUAGCAAAAACAUGCAAAGGAUGUCGUUUAACUUCUUUCACCGCAUGUUUUUUUUUUUUUUUUUUUUUUGGGAGGAUUGGAGAGGGCUGCUCAUGUUUGGUUAGAUAAAACAUGCCAAACAGCCGCUACCUGGCCUGUACAUCUCCCUGUCCUCUGUAUGACCACAUCUGUUAUUAUUUCAGUUAACUGCUAUGAAAACAUAAAGUCGCAGCUGGGACACACUGUUAACCUCCCAUCUGGCUGUCUAAUCAAGUCAAGGAUGGCAAUAAUUUAGUUUCAUACCCAAUGUGUUUUCAUCCCAUUUCUAAUACCAGUGCUUUAUAAUAGCUCUAUGACAGACCUUGUACCCUCUAGCGCAUGUUUCAGGACAGUCAUUGGUGCAUGUUUUAGGGUCAUUUUAAUCCCUCCAAUGUUAAUGUGGUGAAUGUUCUGAAACGGAGAUAAUAAACUGCUUUGGUUUAGGUUUGGUUUAAUAACUACGCUCUGACUUGACUUUUCAGCAAGGAUUUAAAAACAGGUCUCCUUGCUAAAUGUCUUACAUUGUUUGACCUAUAUAAUACCUUUCAUAUCAACUUCAGUUGCACUUUAUUAGACUUUGCAGCACAGCACCCAAUUUCCAAUGUGUUGUGUUGUACAGCUUGGAAGGCUGCUCCGGCUGUCCAAUAGUACUACAAAAUGGUUUACAUCAGAGAAAUGAAAAAAAAAGCAGACCAUAUUUGACACAUCCCUUCACUAGGGGUGUGACAGGAUCUCGUACCACGAGACCUCGCAAGAUUAAACUCAACGAUAUUUCUUGUCGCAUUGAAAAUCUGUCUUGUGAGAUUUGUGAGCUAUCCAAACUUCUAUUUUUGACCUACGGGGGCAGUAAUGCGCCUUUGCUACGUCUACCCUGCCAGAACCUACAGAAGGAGAAGGAGAAGAAGAGGAGGAAAAGGAGGGGAAGCAGCAAGCAGCCAGAAUACCAUCAGAAAAUACCGGUAUUGCCAUCGAAAAUGUCCCUGCCACUUUCAAAUCAUUUGUUUGACAGCAUUUUAGGUACCCAGCGGAAAUGAUAAAUAGUAGAGUGACUGAUAAGACACGAACAAUAUGCAAACAUGAAAAUAAUGCCGUACACUGCGGCUAAUACGCAGAUGGUUUAGUCAUAUAUUUUGUCAUUGUAGUUUUCUUAAAAUCUCGUCUCGUUCUCGUGAACCAAAUAUCGUGUCUCGUCUCUUCUUGUGAGCUGAGUGUAUCAUCACACCCCUACCCUUUACCAUGUGUAGUGCCGCACAGAAACUGGGAAUCAAACACAAAGGUCAUCUGCCCCAAUCAUAGAGUAAAUGAAGCUCUAGUGGUCUUAGUGAUGACACUCAUGGUUUCUGAAAAGGUGCUCUGAAGCCCAAAGAUGGCGUCUACCCUACUGGACACACUGACUCCAACUACCUUCUAUGUACACUACAGGCCAGAAGUUUGGAAGCAAGGCCAUUACAGGCCAAACAGUUGGGAGAAACUUCAAGUUUUUGUUCACAAUGCUUUUUUUUUAAAUCCAGCAAGAGUUUUAUGUAUUUUGGGAUGUAUUUACUCCAUGAUCAGAUGUUGCUUUCAUGGAAAUGCACCAUUUUACUCCAUUUACCCUUAGAUAUACAUGGAUGUUAACAGACCAUUGCUAAAUAUAUGUCAGCAAAAGAUAAUAAGGGCUUAGUUUUAGGGUUGAAAACAUUUGCAAGAGUCACAACUUCAGUGCAAAAGCAAAAAAACAAAUCACAGUUGGAUUAUUCACUUCAACUUUUUGGCUUUUGAGAGUCUGCAGACAAAAAUCCUAAUAAAUCUCAACUGCGUUCAAACUACCACAAAAAUGGCUAGAAAGAAGCAACUGAAUAAAGAAACAAAAGUACAGAUUUGUACAUUGAGGAAAGAAGGAUACACAGAAAGAGAAAUUGCAAAACGCCUUAAGGUGUUUAACAAGGGAGUCCACGACACUCUGAAGAGACCAGAGGAACGUGGAAAUUAUGAUGAUAGAAAAAGGCCUAGAUGAAAGAGAGUUACUACAAAAGCAGAGGAUAAACAUAGCAUUGUCACCAGUAAGAGAGAUUGGCGAAAGACAGCACCACGAAUAAGGGAGGAAAUCAACAAGACAAGGUCGAAACCCAUAUCUCUGACAACCGUGAAAUGACGUUUGAGAAAGGCGUUGUGUAUCUGCAAAAAAAACACUACUUCGUCCACAGAAUAAGAAAAAGAGAUAUGAGUGGGCAAAAGCUCACAAAAAUUGGACUUAUGAUGACUAGAAACAAGUUUGCACUGAUUGGUUCAAAACGCAGAGUCUAUGUCCACAGACAAACUGGUGAACGUCUGAAAGCACCAUGUGUUACACCCAC
rnacentral:lncRNA from 1 species